AAGCGAAAUCUCACUGCCCCGAACCAAACUCAAAACCCUAACAAACCAAAAACAGUUGCUGCCAUAUUCACCAAUGGCUUUCUCCAAGGCAAUGUUUCUCGCCGCCGUAAUGUCGGUGCUCGUCGCCGUCAUCUCCGCCGCCGAAGCUCCAGCUCCGAGCCCUACGUCUCCCGCCGCCGCCGUUUCGCCGUCCUUCGUCGCCGGUGUUCUCGCCGCCGGAGCCGCUCUUGCGUUCGGAUCUGCUCUGCGGAUCUGAACGUAGCUCAUGGAUUUUCUCGUUUACAUGCGUGGAUUUUUAGUAGAAGCGGAGAUUUGAGCAGCAUUAGUAUAUAACUCUCUCUCUCUCUCUCCCUCCCUCUCUCUCUAUAUAUAUUGAUAUUGCUAUGUAGAGAUUAUUACUACAUAUGUUGAUUUCUGGAUCUAUAUUGCGUUUAUGGUUUGAGUAGUAUUAUUGUGAGAUCAUUGUUUCUAGUACAUAAUUGAUUUCUUUAUAUUCAGAUUCGUGCUUAGUUUUUGUUUUAGCUUGAUUUCUUUGUUUUACUUUUUGCUUUCUUUUUCUAAAAUUAUCUUGUGGAGUUUGCUGUGAAUGCUGCUUAAAUUUUUGUCGCGAUGAAUUUGGUUUGACGUAGAUUGGAACUGAAAUGUCUCUGAAAAUCUUUGUAGCGAUUCAAAGUUUGUUGAAACGAAAUGAAACCGUUGGAUCCGUGUAAUUGUACUCGCGCAACGAUUUUGUGUUUAUAUUGGCUAACAAAAUUAUAAUUAUUUUGGCACAAGAAUUAAAAUUAGAGUAUCACUUCCAUAAUACGGAAUUUUUAGUUUUUAUUUUAAAGUAGUUUAUUUAUUUCAUAUCAAAAAGUAUUUUUAAAUUUUAAUAACUGAAUUAAUUUGAAUGUGAUAUCGAUUCGAUUAUUAUUUUUUGAGAAAAAAAAAUUGAGCAUUCAAAUAGUUAAUUGAUAUUCCUAUUUUAUAUUUUAUAUACGAUUCUACUUAAGAAACAGGAUGAACCAAGGAAGCAUGGUUCCUAUACCCAAUAACACGUUUUUUUGCAAAGAUGACGAUAAUUAAUUAUUUGGCACUUAGCAGUAUCUUCUGAAUUACGUCUUCUGGAAUAGAGUAGAAUGAAUUAAGUGGUCACUUUUUUCUUAGGUGUUCUUAAAUGCCUUUUGAAAUUGUACCUUUCGACCUUUAUCUUUUGGUAAAUUCCGUGCGAGCCUGCCCAUUCCUUAACGGAAGCUUGUCAAUUACUACACACCAAGAAUAAUUCUAAAUUCAUGUUGUUACGACUUUUUUUUUAUGACUUUAAAGUCAUAAUUUUUUAUUUUAUUAUUUUUUUUAACUGAAGUUUAAAAAUGAUUUAAACCUGUUUUUUUAAAGCUUUUUUUAAAUUUGUAAUUGUUUAUGGUUUUAUUUUUAUUUUCAAUUUUUUUAAAAUUUAAAUAUAUAAUAAAUAAUAUUAAGUUGUUUUUUUUAUUAGUAUAUUUUUUAUGAUUUUAUUUGAUAUGUUAUUAAUUUAUUUUAAUAUUUUAUUAUUUAAAACAUGUUAUACAUAUGAGAUAUUAAAAAUUGUGAAAUAAUAUAUUUGCUUUAUUAAAAAAAAUUAAAAUUAUUUUCUCCAAUUUUUUAUUAAAACAAUUUUUAUAAUUUGUUAAUAUUGAGAAAAUUAUAGUAUAAUUUUUUAGUUAUAUGCAUAUGUUUUUUUAGCUAAAUUUAUGUUUACUAAGGUUUAGAGUAAUGUUAUGUAUGUGUGGUUGCUAUUCACUUUACAACGCAUGCACACUUAGUGGUGAAAUUUGUCACAAUUGUUUGUUUAUAUAGUAUAAUAUUUUUCUAUAAAUAAAUUGUUAAAUAAAAAGUAUUAUCAUUUAAAAAAAUCUAAUGACAUAAACAAACAAAUUAUAUUUAAUAAUAUAGUAAUAUUAAAAGUAAAAAAUCGAGUCCAAUAAAAUGAGAGAUCGAAACUCAUAUCUAUAAGAAAUAUGUAAUUUUAUUUAAAUAUAAUUAAUUUUUAAAAUAAAGUCUUUCAAAUUUUUAAUAUCUCAUAUAUAUAACAUGUUUUAAAUAAUAAAACAUUAAAAUAAAUUAAUAACAUAUCAAAUAAAAUCAUAAAUAAAUAUACUAAUAAAUAAGUCAACUUAAUACUAUUUAUUAUAUAUUUAAAUAUUUUUUUAAAAUAAAAUUAAAAUCAUAAACAAUUGUAAAUUAAAAUAAACAUGUUUAUGACUCCAAAUUAAUUAACCUUAAAAAAAGUUAAAAAAAAAAGAUUUUACGACUUUAAAGUCAUAAGAUAAAAAAGAGUUUUUAACUAAUGUUGUAAAUAAUUUUAUGACUUUAAUUAAAAAAUAAAAAUUACGACUUUAAAGUCAUAAAAAAAACUUUUGAACUGAAGUCAUACAUAAUUUUACGACUUCAGAUAAAAAAAAAUAAUAAUAAUAAAAAUUCAUAACAACCGUUAUGACGUCUAGUUCAUAAGUCGUACCAGGUGUUACGACUUACCUUCUAUUGAGUAAUUUUUUAUAAUAUACCCGAUUAAAAAAUUAGAUAAAAUUUUACCUCUAUUUGAGAAAAAAGCCAAUCAAAACAUAAGGGAUUUACUGUGAAUAUUUUAGAGCAUAUUAAAUUAGUUUUGAUGAUUUUCAUCAUAUCCUAUUACAUUUAAGAUACUUAUAUAUAACUUUGCAUCCAUGAUAAAAAAAAAUAUAGGUUAAAUUAGGUUAUAGGUUUUUAUAUUAUUAUAAAAAAUUUAAUUAAAUCUUUAUAUUAAUUUGUUAUAUUAAUUUAUUGUGAGAAAUCUAUUAAACAUGAAAUAUUUCUUCAUAUAGAGGUUCAAACCUUAAACCAAAAACUGCCACACAGGUGAUAGAUUAAACAAGUUGUAUUGAGGCACCUUAAAUUAAAAAGUAUGCGUGUAUGAUAGAAUAUUUUGUAAAGUCUAACAAAUUACAUAUUUAAAACCAAUAUAGAGACUCAAUUAAAAAAAAUAUAUAAGAACUUAAUUAUUUUUUUUAAUUGUACGAGGACCUAUAUACUAAUUUAACCCUAAAAAAAUCAAACAAUUAUUUUUUUUUUAUAUUUUUUAUUUCACUUAAUUAUGUUUCCAUCUUUUUUUCUUGGAAUUUAGGCCUGAAAAAUUAAAUUUUUAUCUUAAGUUUGAAAAUGAAUUAUUUAUAUAAGAUAUUUGAACCAAAACUUAAAAAACUCAGUGUCAACUAGACUUGGUCCAAUGCCAAAAAGAAAACAAGAAAUUAUUUUUUAUCCAAAAAAUUCCAUCAACCAUCUUCCCUUAGAGUGAAUAACAGCUAUUUUUAUUGUUCGAACGAGACGUUUAUAUGGUGGUACCCCUACAUUGUUAAUCUAAACUAGAUAAUAAUUUAUGCUUAUUAAAAGCUAAAUUGUGACACGUUGGACGUUAGGAACACAAUAUUGGCAUUAUUAUGAAUUGUAAAAAACAAUAUUGGCAUUUGGAAGUGAAGGCGGAAGAGAGACGUGGUGUCAUACUCAUUUCCCAUGAAGUGUUGGGUGUUGACAAGUUCGAAUAUAUUUAUCAUUUAAUCUGAUGUAAUUAUAUUAAGUUGAAUUUUAAGUUCUAUAAUUAAAUUUGAUUUAAUUUAAUUGACUUAAUUAUAAAUAGAUUGGAUAAAAAAAUUUAUUUUUUUAUUUUUUAAUCUGAUGUAACUCAUAUCAUAUAAUUAAAUUUAGUAUUAUAUAUAAAUUAAUUAUUAUAUAGGUUAAUUUUUAGUUCACAUAAUUUAUUAAAUUAUUAAAGUAUAUGAUUCAUAUUUUUUUUCUUUUUAAGAUGUUAUUUUUAUAUAUGUCUUGAUUUUAUUUAUGUUUUCUCAUACUAAUACUGUAUUUUUUAUUUAGAUAAAAAUAAAGUAUUAAAUUAACAUUGAAAUUAUUAAUUCUAUUAGUAAAAUAUUGUUACAAUUUAAUUUUUUUAAUACAUUUAUUCAUUAUAUAUUUUCAAAGCUUAAGGCAAAAGAAAUUAUUGUUCUAAUUUUUGUUUGCAAAAUAAAAAAUUUAGACAUGAUUAACUCAAUUGGAUGUUUUUUUGUCGAGUUUGUACAAAAAUUUGCACAAACAUGAUUCAACCCAUAAAUUUUGACGAGAUUGAGUAACAAAUUUAAUCAAAUUCAACCGUGAAUACACUUAUUCGAUAUAAGAUUGUGUCUGAAAUCAAAGCUAACAAAAAUCAAAUUCUCCAAAUACUUCAAUGAAUUGGGAAGUUAUUUUGAAAAUGGAAAGGGUUUAAGACAUAUUUAUUAAAUGUUGAAAAUGUUUUUUUAUUAUAUAUUUUUAACACUAUGUAUACAAUUUACAUAUUUUCAUUUAAUACUUUCUUGAUAAAUUAUUAAGAAAAUGUGUAAAUUCAUUUUGCUAAAAAUUAAACGUUUGGUGUACGUACCAAGAAGAAAAAGUACCCCAUAUGAAUAAUGAAUCAAUUCCUGAAAUUAUUCCAUGCUUCGCUGUCUUUAUAUGAUCACAAGAAGGAAUAACGGCAUCUCGCCCCUAAACCAACAAUAAUGUGUUUAACCAUUCUUUAAAAAGGGAAUCUCUUUGCUAUGAGAAACUAGAAAAAGAAAAGGUGUUAUAUAUAAAAAAAGUGAUUAUAAGAACAUUUUAAAAGUACAAACAUUUCUUUUGAUUCUUUUUACUUUUGCAAAAGUUGUUUCUUUAUUUUUAAAAACAACUCCAUAACUUGUCUUUGAAUUUUGAAGAGUGCAAUAACAGGGCAAUCUUUGCUACCUAUUCCAAUUGAUCGGCCAUUCAAAUUAGUGGACUAAGUUAGUUUGGAUAGUUAAUUAAGACCAACUCAUUCCAGAAAUAUAAGAUAAAUUUGAUAAUUAAAGAAGAAUAAAAAAAUCAUAAUAAAACUAACAUUCUAACAUAUUAAUAUUUAUAAAAAAGAAACAAAUCAAAUAAACUAAAGUCCAGUUCAUUACUUAACUCUGACAAAAAAAUCAAAUCAAAUCAAAAACUCAGUUGCCCCAUUUGUCUUUGAUAAUUGAUGCUUAACGGAACAAGUAGUGGUCUAUGGGUUGCCUCCGCAGGCACCAUCUGCAUCGAGUUUAUAAAAAUGAAUCCCUUUAAAGUUUAUUCUAGACAACCUCAAUUCCAUGUUCCUUUGUCUACCUAGAGCACCUGCCGUUACAUCUUAAAAUUUAAUGGCUUUACUGAGCAACACUGAAACCAGCAAACAUCUAUCAAGCUCAUAAUUUUACCUAAUUCACUAAUUCUAGGUUUUCCUACUUAUUUUAUAUGGUAAAUAUUUAAUGUUUCUUAUAUUUCUAAAAUAUUAAAUACAUUUACGUUUUUAUUUAUUCUUGUCUUAAAUGAUUCUAAUUUCGAGUUCAUAUAACAUAAAUGAAUUCUUCCAAUUGUGUAGUAAUAGUAAUUUAAGAGUUUUUAAUAGAAUUUGGUUUUAUAAUAAAUAACCAUAAAGUAUACAUCAGUAUUAAGCACUCCAUUCUGAUAUAAACAUUUUUUUAGCAAAUAUACAUUAUCCUUAAAAAAAAAGGGCACUUGUUUCGUUAACAUGGGAUUCAAGGUUCUGCUUAAUUACAAUUCAAUCAAUUAUAGAAAUUAUUUGUAUGACUUGUUCAUUUUCAUAAAGAUUUUAUUUAAAUACUAACGGUAUGCAAAGUCCGGUGCGCUAUGGAAGGUUGACUAAAAAAUAUGACCAAGUUGAAAAAUGAACAAAUCUUAUUUUUUUUACAGCGUCAUCAUUAAAAAAAUUCUUUUGAAAAAUUAAACCUUUGUAUUUUGGUGUGUAUUACUAAAUUGAUAACUAUUUUAAAUUAAAAUUCAAACCAUAGUUGUAAAACCCAGUUCGGUCCGGCCGAUCGAACUAGUUCAAUCUAAACUCACCAGAUCAGUUUCACUAUUGGACCAGUCACGCAAUUGACCCGGAAUGAUCCAAUCAAAUUCGACCAGUUAGGUACCGAAUCCCGAUUGAACCGGUCUGAUCAGACUGAUUUUACAAAAAUAAAAAAAAUGAAUCACCUCUACGAUGUCAUUUUGAUAUUUAAUUAUUAUCAAUUAUUAUUUCAAAUUUUGAAGUAUGGAUGAACUUUUUACUCAAAUAAUGUUAGUUAUACAUAUAUAAUUCUGAAUUUUUAAUAUAUAUCGAAUCAAACCGAGUCAAUUACUAAUCCACCGGUUAGACUACUGACCCACUACCUCGACCAAAUCAAUGAUCACACCGAAUUUCACAACUAUAAUUCAAACAAUAAGAGUGACUUUAAUCCCAAUAGUUCAAUGGGAGUUCAAGAACAACACAUGAUUUUGGCCAAUGCUUAACUAAAAAUCCAAUCUCAAUCAAUUAUUUUCUUGCAUCAUGCCUCCAAUACCACUAAUUUGUUAUCUUUACUUCCUCGAAAAUGGUUGGAUUUUUUUAGUUUGUUCUUCAAAGUGCAUGCAAUUAAAUCAAUAAUUUUUUAUUUUUUUUGCUUAUAUGCAUCAAGUUUCCUUUUUGAGUAUUGUAUCUAUUAUGUGCAUUAAACCACCUUUUUGAAUAGUCCCUUAUUUUAUUUUUUAUUUUAAAUUGGUCCCCUAAUUUUUAAGUUAUAAAAUACUCCUUUUGUUUAAUUCAUGACAAGUUAAUUCUUUAAAAAAUUGAUCAUUUUCAAUUUUUGAAUACGAUUUUGAACCUUUUUUUUAUGAAUUCAAGAUGUGAAACUUAUUUUAUUAUACUCUCUUAUAUAAAAAUUGUAAAAAUCAACUAAUGUUCGAAACAAAAAAGAUUAAAUGUAGUGAAAAAUGAGUCUCAUAAAUAAUAAGAAAAAAUAUAACAUUAGAUUUUUAGAUUUUCGAUUGAUCAUAAGACUCACUUUUUAUGUAUUUUUUAUUUUAUUUAUGUCUCUUUUUUAUUUAAAUAUCAAUUGAUUUUCAUUAUAUUCAUGUAGAUGAAUUUAAUAAGAUAAAUUUUACCUUUUGAACCGAUAGAAAAAUAUUUAAAAUUGUGUCAAAAAAUUGAAAACAAAUAAUUUUUCGAAAGAACAAACUUGUUAUGAAUUAAAUAAGGGAAUCAUUUUGAAACUUUUUAAAAUUAGGAGACCAAUUUUUUUUAAAAAAAGUUAAGGAAUUAUUGGUAUAUUUUAGCCAUGCUAAUGCUAUUACUACCAUUAAUUAGGAAAUGCACAUGAUGUUGGAUCUCACUUCCAAAGAAUAAUAGCAUUGCCACCAAACUCAAGAAGACAUCAUUUAUCUUAUCACUUCUAAAUAAACUUUCAUAAUACUCAAAUUCAUCAACCGAUGAUGAAAAUAAAAGUAUCCAAGACCAUGACACACUGGACAAAAUAAAAUUAUAACAGAUAAUGAAACAAAACAAAGCAUUAAGAGAGAAUGAAGUUAUGUAUGAAAAUGAUAGGUUCCUUACGCUAUCAACUAAGAGUAUAAAAGAUAAAAACAAAAUUAGUAUUACUAAGAACGAGAGACAAAAACAAGAUAAUAUCCAACUCACCAAGAGCACAACUCCCAAUUAUAAAAUAAAACCAUCAAUAAAACCUAUCAACAUAAAUCUUUAACAUACUCGUCAUCAUUUUCUUAUUAUUCUUUUCCUCGAAACAGACAUUUCCAUAAUCAUCCUCAGGGAACUUGUUUUAAUGGAUGACCGAGAAUCCUGUCUCAAUGAGCACCCUUUGAGUAUCACAUUGGAGGCAGUAUUUAUUAUUAUUAUUAUUAUUAAUUUCGUCUUCCCAUGCUUAUUCAAAUAUAACUCACAAAAUGGCAACACCUUUAAGGAAAGCCUUGACUACGCCCAUUGCAACAACUUUGAAGGAACGUACCCUUGACUACUUCCAUUUCAACACCUUUGAAGGUAUACUCGACUACCUCCAGUACCACAUCUUCAAACGAAUUGUCAACUACCUCCAUUACAAUUUAUUCCUCAAUUGCAAUUGAUGAAUGCAAGAGUUCAAAAUGAUAAAAGAAAUCAUAUGCAUUCCAUACAAAUAUGUGUAAAAGUAGUGUAGUGCAAUUGAACUCGCAUAAAGUAGCGACCUAAAACAACCACGGUGGAUGAGUAAAGUAGUAUUGUGUAAUUGAGCUCUCAUAAAGUAGCAAAUAUAAGUUGAGCAAUGUAACCUAAUGUUACUCUCAUGGUUUGGGUACAAUUAUAAUAAGUAGCUCUAGUAAAUUCAGUUGGAAGGAAGAAAUGUGAAGAAAAAAUGUUAAGAGACAGAUCAAAGAGUGUCAUGGGCAAAAAAACAAAAAAGAGAGAGGAGGAAAUGAAAGUGUUGGCCGAAAAAUGAGAAGAGGAAAGGGGGGACAAGGCAAUGAUUGGAAGAGAAGAGGGGGUGGUGGUGAAAAAGAAAAAAAAUGUGAGAGAAAAAUGAAAGUUUUACUAUUAUAGAUGGGUUUACCUGGUUGAAUUGCAUCCCGGCUUUUAUUACUUUUUUUUUUUUUUUCUGUUAGGCCUAUGUUUUGUUUGCUUUGGGAACAUUAGGUUUCAUGUCCCCCAAGCUUUCUUGUCUUGUUCCUUCUUAUUUAAUUUAUUUAAGUACAUAUAUUUAAAUUCUAAAUAGAGACCUUUUUGUCUCACAAAUCAAUCUUGGAAGUGCCUUUCUAGAUCUACACAUUGUCUACUUUUUAACACAUUAAGCCCAAUAAUUAUAGAGGAAAUAACUGUGAGGAGUUUUAAAAUUUAAAUAUAUAACCACUUGUAAACAAGUGUAAAUUUAUUUGAAAAGUGACCUCAAUUGUAAUCAUACAGACUAUAACAGCUUCCGAACAUAUGGGUCUUGGCUUAGAUCUCCACUAAGCCUUUUGCACCGAUAAGAAUUCAAUAAUAGAUUUCAAUCCUUUGAUGAUUCAAUUUUCCUAUUUGAUCCUUACACACUCUUGAGAAUUCAAACUCAUUCGAUUCCCAAUUAAUCCUACUACACUUCAAGAAUUUUCCUAAAUUACACUAACACAUCUUCUACCUUCAUAAAAAUCCUUAAUGGUCAUUUCUCAUUGCAUGUUUCUAACACCAACUACAUAGCAUGAAUCAUCAUUAUUAGAGAGAUAAAAUUAAAUAAGAGAGUUGCAACACCUCUGCCCCCGCCCACAAAAAGAAACGAAAUCCUUAUUACUCGCCCUUUUCUUAAUGCAUACUGUAUUUGUUUAUUUUAACACCAACUACGUCGCAUGGAUAAUCAUUGUCAUAGAGACGUGAAAUUUAAAACAAUUGCAAUCCAAGCACCAACACACAAAUUUAAGGCAGAAUAGAAAAUAUUCAGGCCAUUUCCACACCUAUAAUUACCAGUAAACAUUAUUCAAUAGUUCUAGAAAAGUUUUCAUUACUAAUUAAGUUAUUGUUUUAAAAAACAAUAAUGUAAAAAUUAUCACCAUGUUCAUACGCUGUGACAUUAAAUGAAACAAUAGACCACGAAUAAUCUUUUUUCUUUUCUUUCGUUAAAAGUUAUAUUUCUUGAGUUAUAUUUCUUUUUUAUAUCUUGCCUAUGGUGGAUUUUAUUUUAGUCUCCAUCUGAGAGUCCACGAAUAAGGUGGAAGACCGACUCUCAUAGCUGGAAGUCAUCCUUCUGCUGAAGAUGAGGUCCCUGUCAUUUUUUUUUUUAUCGAUAAAUAUUAAUUUAAUUUUUGUUAGGGAAGGGAUCUGAACUCAUGACCUUUUCUCCUUUUUCUUUCAUCAUUAGACCAACUUCUUUCAUUAUUAGACCAACCUUAUAUCUCCUCUCGCUAAGUAAUUGCUUGAAGAUGCUUCUUAGAACAAAAAUUAACAUAGGUGAGAAAAUCUUGGACCAAAAAGACCAAAUUAAGGUGAGAAAAUGAGGUUGGGCCAAAAAGGAAAAGAUGAGAAAAUCAGGGUCAUCAGAGAGAAACCAAUUUAUAUUUGAUUUCGAUUUCUUGGAACGCUGGUAUGCGUUGCCAUGCUUUACAAUAUCUCAACAUUUCUCACACCCUUAGACUAAAGAAGAAGAAGAAAAAAAAAACCAACUUUACUCAUUGCCUCGCUUCUUUCUAUUCAGAGUCGGAGUCCAUGUUGCCCAUUGCUUUCAACCCUCUUGGUCUCUGCAUAAGAAAAUCCAAAUUAGGUUUCUUUAUUAACGUGCAAAAAGAACAAAAACACUAAUAUGAUAUGAUACACGACGUAGCAGCAGGUUAAGUCCUUACUUUUUUUUCUCCUACCUUUUUGGAUAUCUUCUUCUCCCUUACUUCAUAUCGUUCCAGAGUAAGAUCGCACAGCCAUGUACCUGGACUAACGAGCUGCAACAACACAAUCCAAAAUGAACAGUUUGGACAUUUUAUAGUUUAGGCCAUCAAUGAAAACGGAAACAUAAACAAGAGAAAGAACGAUGGAUAGAAGUAGUCAAGAACAAGAAACUGAAGAUACUAAUCAAUCAUGUUACCAAUUACAGAAUAAACUAUCGGUGUAGCUCGUAAAGUAAUACUCUCUCCUAUGUAGUUCCUUAAGUAAUAAAAUUAUAUAAGUAAUCUCUUGAAUAUUGAAUAUCUAUUAUUAAUUUAGUCCUUAAUUUGAUAUAUUUUAUUAAAGUUCAGAGGUCGAUUUGAUAGAUUUUUCAAUACUUGAAAGACUACUUGCUAUGGACAACUCAUAUCAUUCCUAUCACAGUUCAAAGUACAUAUUAAUUCCAGUAUUUCCAAUCCUGCUUUCCAACAUACGCAACCAAACCCCAAGGUUACGAUAUAAACCUGAACACGACCGAGGAGUACCCACUUCUUCAUAUUCAUCAACUUGUUCAAUUUUGGUGGUUUAUGAAAAGUCUGUUUAUCGAACACUCAAAACUAAAAGGCUUCUGAACAAACCCACAAGAAACCCAAAUCAAAAUAGCCUGAAUAAUACACCAAGCAACUAUGAUUUUCUCACUUUCCUUUCUCUUUCAUUUUUAUAUACACUCCCUCUAUCUUUCUAUAUUUUUGUUCCUAGAUAAAGAUGCAUGAAAACCCAAUGUCAUUUACCAUCUUAAAAGUGAAAAAAAGGCUAUAAAUAUAAUAUAUGAUAUAAUAUGAAAAAAGAGAAAUAAUAUAUGUAACAUGAUUGUUUGCAACAUAUAGUUAUCCAUAUAUAAUUAUUCCUCUUAAUAAUAAUUUCAGCUUUAAUUUAUUAAGUUCUGAAUUUAUCUCAUCCACUUUUUUACAUCCUCCUUAUAUAUCAUUUUAUUUUCCUCUAUCUAGCUGUCUUUCUUUAUUAUCAUAGCAGAUAUUACAUUUACUUUGUUUCUAUUCUCUUAUAUCUUUUUUUUCUAUUAGAUGAGAACAAUAUAAACAUAUGAACAGAAUACAACAUUUUGCAGCUGCAACAAAGCUCGAAAGAAUUACUAGUAUUAUGCUUGUGUAAAUUUUAUGAAAAUUGACCUGUACCUUUUAACAUAUUUUUUAAAUUAUAUUCGAGUAUUAGAAUAUCAUAAGAUUUCCCCACCUAAUUCAGUGUACCACAGUUUAUAAUUGAAUAAAAUGUAUGCCACAUAAAGAAGCCCAUUCCGCAUCAACAUUGAUUACACCAAUUGGAUAAUUGGAUGCGGACGCAGCACCUAAUUAAGUGUAUCUUCUGUUUCUUCCCUUCCGAACCAAAAUAUUUAUUAUUUUGUAAGACACAAAUUUUAGGAUAUAUAUAUAUAUAAAACAUCCUUCCCCUAAAAAGCUUCGCCAGUACUAGAUUUGCUAGCAUUUAUUUGAUUAUAUAUGUAUUACUUGUUUUAAUUUAAUCUUCAUAUAAAAAAAUAAUUUAAGAAAUAAAUUUUAUGAUGUUAUAAUAACAACAAAUAACAUGAAGGAAUUUUAAAAUAAUUAUAUGUAUAAAAAUUUAAUUUUAAAAAACCCUUCAAUACUUUUAAUAAAGUUAUAGGCAUUAUUACAUUGUUUCUGAAAAAUCAUUAUUAAAUUAAUCACAUAAAUACUUAAAAUAUUUUAAAGAAAUUUAUAAAUAAAUUAGUUCAUCAAAGUUUUAAAAUAUCACCGUAUUCAUACUCAAUAAAGAAAUACUUUUUGAAAAAAUUUAUGAUACCAAACUAAAUCUUUAAAAAAAUAUAUUUGGAUAACCAAAAAAAAAAUUAAAUGUCUAAUUCUAGAAGAAUCAAAUAGAGUAUUUAUCUUUAAAAUUAUGAGAUUAAACUAUGUAUAAAUGUUAUGUAGGUUAUCGUAGAUAUAAUGUUUUUUCGUUAGAGAAAUGCUAGUUAAGGAAAAAUAUUACUAGUAUAAAUUAGUGUAUGUUAUUAUAACUUUUAAUAUAUUUUCGUGGUUUUUAUUAAAAAAAAAAAACUCUCAUUAAUAUUUAACCUGUGUUUUAUUAACAACAAGAACUUUUGAGUUCUCAAACAGAACUUUUGGACCCACACUAUUCGCUGUGAACCAAGCUUAUGGCUGACCGUGUAAGCCCAUCCACAGCUUUCUAACCCUCUGUCUAUAGCUUUUCCAGGCGGAGGUCGUAAAAGUAAAAGUAAAAGAAAGGACGCGCACUACCGUACAAGAGCCACAGAAUAAAAAAUUUAUAAAUAAAAAAAAGAAAAAUAAAUGGCCUACCAAAUUCUGUCCCAGAAUAAUAAUUAUUCUCCUAUAUUUACUUUCUGUUUUAUGUUAUUUUCUUUGUAUUUUUCCCCUCUAUAAUACUAUCAAUUAUUAUAUCUAUCAUUUUUUACUUUAAUUUCUUUUUAUUUCUCAAUCAAAUAAUAAUUUAAUACACAUGAUACUUUCUAGAAAAAAAGUUUCUUAGGCAUCCCAUAUACUAAUAUACACCUAGAGAGAAAAGACAAUAAUAGGAAAAAAUGAUAAUAUGACAAGAAUAGAGAUAUAAACCCAUGAGGUCAAUGAAAUGUCUAGAAUUUUGAAAUAUGCAAGUAUCACUGCUCUAUAUUAUCUUUUGUUUUUCUUUUGUCUCCCUCUUCCUUCCACCUACAUACACCCCACAAUAGAGUGUAUGCUAAUCACCAAUAUGUUUUUAAGUAAUACUUAAAUUAGAAGGAUUUCCUGAUGUUGGAUUUUAACGUGAUUAUUAUUAAGUAAAACUUUGCAUCUCGCUCUCUUUUCUUAGAAAUUAAAUAGAUGAAUUAUAUUAAAAUUUGUAUACAUUUAAUAAAACAAAUUUUAUCACAAAAAUUUAAUAUGGUCACUAAAACAUUACACGCGUUAACUAUAAUUAAGUCCCCCAACAAUUUUUACGGAAAAUGAUACCCUCAUUCAUUCUUGUUGAUUGUCACAACAAUUCUCAAAAAGCGUUUCAUUUAGUCAAAUUCUAAAUUGAAGUCACGUGAUAAAAAAAAUCUUGUUUUAAUAAUCAAUUACGUUCAAAUAUUUCUAAUGCGUCGAUUUCUACAAUCUAGGAUUUAUGAAAUGGUCCCUGUAGAAAAACUUCCUCAAGAAGACAUAAUAAUAACUAAAUUGAAGUGGAAAUAACGUAAAGCUAAAAAAAGGGGGUUAGUGGAGCCUUACAUUGAGGGUUCGUUGUAUGAAUUUGGCUCUCUUCUUGGGUCUCUGGGGAAGCUUUGAACCCUUCAAGAGCAGAAAAUCUUCUUCCUUCUCCUUGUUUGUCAAGGCAAUCACGAACUUUGGCGGCCACACCGGCGGAGCCGCGUCACCACUGCCGGACGGCGACCCACCACCGCCCUUCUUGCUAUCGUGCGCGGUGUCUGAUGAGACCACAGACUUGUUAUUAUUGUCAUUAAGGUGGUUGUUUUGGGUCCCCCUCUUAUCGUGCGCACCCCUGUCCGGUGAGGCAAUUCCCCUAACACUCCCGUUGCUUUGGCCUCCUCUCAUAGCACUUGAAGUCUCCGAAUUCCUAAGUAAGAUGAAUGAUAAUUUUUUUAAAAAAAUCAAUCACAAGCAAAACCCACAUAUGAUUAUUAUCCCAUAUGUUUUCUUUCUUAACCGUAAGAACGUGAAACACGACGUGAUAAAUAGGGAAAGAAACGAAUAUGCAUUGAGAAGCAUUAUUUUGUUGUUUGGAAAAAUAAUAAUUAUACAAAAAAAAAAAAAACUUUAGGGGAGGGGAGUAGUGGGUUUACGAAAUUGACCUUGUGGGUCGAUCUAGAUCGCAGGGUUUGAACUUUGAAGAGGUUGGGAUAUCAACCGAUUUUGCGUAAAAUAUGGGCUGAUUUUUUGGCUUCUUCGUGGGGUAUUUGUAGAAACCGGGGGCUGGUGUGUGCGCCUUUAAUUUUAUUUUUAUUUUACUUCCUAAGAUGAAAAGAUUUAGAUGGAUAUUUACGAGAUUUGUGCAUGUGAUUCCUUAUAAUUGACCCAGGUGGUUCCAUGGAAAGUUUGGGGCCGUUGGAUCUAGAUUCUAGAGUGUUCAUUGGCUAUUUUGUUUAGUACCUUACUAUGUGGUUUGAUGGGACGUACCAGAUCUAACACCUGGUGCCUCAUCCAACGGCCACAAAAGGGAUUUCUUACAAAAUGACUUUAGAAGAUGACUUUAGAGGAACACGUGGAAGGAGACCCUCCAUUCCAUGUUCCUGACAAAGCUAGGGACUAAGAGUAAUAAUCCUCAUGAUAAUGAGGGGUUCCGGUACGGUGUUAUUAUUGUAGACCUAGAGAUCCACAAAGUGCAGUGCAGUUAGAAUAUGAUCUGGACAUCUGGUAUGACGGAGGAUUAAGUUUAGUAUUACUUUUCCACGGAAAAAUAUCCUCUCCAAUUAAUGGAGGUUCAAAUAGUACUUAUCUCACAAAUUUUAUGUGUCUAUCUCUCUGGAUUUCUUCAGUAACGGAAGAGGAGUCAGAUCCCCCUUUUCCAUGUCAUGAAACAUGAUCUCCAAGGAUAAAAGCUUAAAGGGGAACCUCCAUGAUCAUUAGACAUCAUACCCUAUUGUUUGGUACGUGUAUCAUAUGAAUAUCAAUCAUACACAGUGAGACAAAUGCAUCAAAAAGCCGAGAUAAAACCAAUUAAUUCCACAUCAUAAAAUAAAUACCAGAUGAAGAUGUGAGAGGGUUUCAUAAAAGUUCAAUUUGCAGACAGAAAACACAGACCGAUAAGAUGCCAUAUAUCAUGAAUAUCAACUAUGAAAUAUCAAAUUUUUGGUUGCAAAAACAUCUAGGAUGAUGGAAUAGAGUAUGACAAGAUCUUAGAUUUGACAGAUAGGAAAUUCAAGUAAAACACUAUUUGAAUCUAAAAUCUUUCCUAUCUUUAGACCGAUCGCUAUCCCCUUCCUCUUAAAUUUUAUAAAUAAAAAAAAUCUGUUGCAAAGGCAAGGUUGGAUUUAGAUCUUCACCAUAGUUUAGAUUUUUCAGAUUAGUUACUAAGAGAUAAGGAUGAUCCAAUAUUUGAAAAAGGGUGAAGGAUGAAGAGAGUGUGAAGAGAUUGCAGGUUUGCUCGUUUUUCUACCAAAAGUAACAAAUUAGUAUUUGCUUAUAAAAAAAAGACUCCCCAACUCUUUUGCCUGUCUUUUUGUGCUUUUAAAUAUUAGCCUUGAACACUUUAAGUCAAGAAACAAUUGAUAUGAAGACACUGGUGAGGUAAUCAUUAUUCAUUACACAUUAAUGCGAGCUUCCUAAAUUAGUAAUAAUAAAAAUUUCCAAAUGAAUUUUGAUUUUUGAGGGAAGAAAAGAAAGACGACCUCACGCAAUUACCGUGAGCUCCCCUUUAAUUUGGAUGAGACAUCCGCAAGGACCUGACCAAUUGGAGAGUGGACAAAAUAUAAGCCUCAUGGGUCAUGAUAAAUAUUCAGCCCAAAUGUAGCAAAUAUCUUCAAUGCCCAAUUUUAUAAUAUUCACGGUAACAUUUGAAACUGAAGAUUUCUGCGACUGACAUAAGAGACUUACAUGUUGCCUUCAUCGCAUAUAAUCGGCCCCCGCGCGCACAAAAAAAUUUCGUGGCAGACAUGAAUCCACCCACUUCCACACAAAUCCUAUAUGAAUAAUAAUUUGUUUCCUACAUGCUUAUCGGAUAUUUGACUAGAUCUGAACCCAUUAGCCAAGCAUUGCAUGGGAUAGGAAUAAAAUCAAAAAUUAAAUUUCCAUUAUCAGAAAUAUCGAUUAGAACAAAAAAUUAUUAACACAAGUAAUGAUUCGAUACUUAAGUUAUUUAAUUAAGGUUUGGAAUUCAAUUCCUGACUUGAAUAUGGAAUCACAACUAAAAAUAUCCCUUUUAUCUAAAAAAUGAAUCAACUGGGUGGAAGAAGAAUUACACCUCGCAGCUGUACCAAAAAAAUAUCAAUUAUAACACAGAAAAAUCUUUUCUGGAAAUGUCCAAGAACCAAGCAAAAUCGUUUCAAAAAUCGAACUGCUAAAUCAUUAAAAAGGAUAUUGAACCAACUGUUAAUAAAAAAAAAUAUCAAAUAUAAAAUGAUUUUUUUUUAUUCAGCUCAAUUCGAUCUUCGAACCAAAUCAAAUUGCAAAUAGCCAAAUUUAUUAAAUUUUUACAAAUUUCCUCAUUUUAUCUUAAAAUUCUAAUCUUAUUAUAUACUACAUAUAUUUGUACGUUUAGAAAAUAUUUAAAAAUCAUUUUAACCUGUAACUCAUAAUUUUAAUCCAGUUGUGAUUUAUGAUGUGAUCUGAUAGUUUUAAACAAUUUUUUUUAUACUUAUUAUAUAUUUGACUUUUUAAAUAAAAAACUAGUCACUUAAAAAUGGUUAUAAUUUAGAACUUCACUCUUAUUUUAAUUAAUAAAAUUUUAUUUGUUUGUUAAAAAAAUUAAAAGAAUAUUUCAAAAUAAAACAAAAGUCAAAAUUAGAGAUCUAAUUCAAACCCCUAAAAAAUAAAACUAAUUUUGUUUGAGAUGGGGUUCGCUUGAAAGUGAAAUUCAUGAGCUUGUUAACGGUACCUGGGCACGCACCUCUUGCUAGCUGUUCUACCGCCAUCAAAGAUGGCCUGUAGCUUGAUUUCGAACAGAGAAAUUCAAUAUUAUUCUUACCUAAGUUUUACUUGUUUCCAAAUCCAACACUCCCUACUCCUUUCCUACAACUCUAGUUUAAUUUUUUAUAUUGAUUCCUAUGGUAGAUAUUGGAUUCGACGCCGGUAUAUAUUUAUUACAUAUGCUAAUAAGUAAUCUUAAGGUAUUAUUUAAGGAAUUAAAAAAACAUUAGAAUGUACAAAAUUAUAAUGUCCAUACUCCUAUAAAUAGGAAGAUCCUAUAUUUAUAUACCAGGACAGUAAAAAAAAAGGAUCUCAACAUAAAUAAAUAAAUAAACAACUAGAUGUAAUAAUAAAUAAAGUUGAGGGAAGAUGCAAAGAAAAAUACCUGAGAAUUCGCGGAGGAGGUUGCUGCGGGGAAGGUGGGCGUUGACGGAGAUUCAGAUACCCGUUACUCUGAUUAAUAUUAUUAUUAUUAUGAAGGCUAAUAUGAUUGUUAUUGUUGUUAUUAGUGAGGGUAGCAGUAGUGGGUAAGGAUCUACUAAUACUAAGAUUUGAAGAAGAAUCUUUAUCGUUUCUAACCACUCUCCGAUCCACCCGAACCGUUGUUGUUGUUGUUGUUGUCCUCUGAACCGGGUUGUUUGAAGAAGAAGGGUCGUGUUUGACCUGCACCUUCAUGCACCUUAGUCUCUUCCUGUUACCCCACUGCAGCCCCAAAUCCGACGUCGUUGCUGCUUGUCUCAUUCCAUCGGAGCUACCCCUCAGCAACAACGACCCGGCCCCACCACUACUACUAUCCCCUCCAACUUUGUCUCUUUCUCUAACGCUAUUGCCUUGAUGAGACUCUUUAUCCAUCCUACCUGUCAUGGUCACCAUUAAUUAGGUUAAGUUUCAAGGGAUAUUACUGAAAUAAUAACAAAAAAUAAUAAUAUGAUUACAUACAUACAUUCAUACAACAAACAAACUUGAAAUUGGUGUUGGAUUUGUAUUAUCUGCCCCUUAUUAUUAUUAUUUUCAUAUAUAUUGAUGAUGCAUUACGCUUAUUACGCAUCUAGUGGCACUACUGCUAUAUUUUAGUCAGAUAAAAUAAAGAAGGUGCGUUGGAGGGUCCACAGUUUUCGAGAGGGGGAAAGGAAAAUGAAAACCAUGGGAAUCGCGCGGUGUGAGCAUCUUCUUCCAAGAUCAAGACAAGAAGUGGGUGAUGAAAAUUGAAAGGGAAAACGGAAAUUUAUAAUUGGAUUCAAUAUGGUUGCACAUGGACUGCGAGAUUUUCAACCAUGAUUUGAGGGGAAAUGAUAUGUGAAAAAACGGAAAAAUGAAAGGAAGAAAAAAGAAAAGUGAUCAAAUAAUACAUGAGAGCUUGGAAGGUUCAAUGGCUUCUCUUAGACUUGGCUUGUUCAAUCGGUUUGCUUGACUCUGCAGAUUUCAACUAUUGAGUAAGAUUUGCUGUUCAGGUUUUGCUCUUUAAGCCAAUUGACUAACAUUUCGAUUCACAAACAGCGAAAGAAAGAGGUGAAAAAGAAGAAUCGAAGAAGGAAUUGAACAUAGAAAUAGAGAAAGUCAUAACAGAAACAGAGAGAGAAACAGGGGACUUAAAAUCAACUAUAUUUGUAAUCGUUAAAAAAAAAUCCAAAAUAUUUGCAAGGGGAGGAGAUCCAAAAGCAUGAAAUUGAAACCGUAAGGAAUGAAAAUCAACGCAUUACAGAAAACUUGCACGAUGUUAGCAACCAGAAGAAAAAUGAGACGGUUUUUCGAUUUUAGGAAAUAAAUGAAGAGGCAGGGGAAAAUCAUGGAACCGAAUAUUGGAUUAACAUUACGGUGAAAUUCAACACCUCAGUUCCGAUUUUAGGUAAGUAAAUUUAUAAUUUCUCACCUAAACUAAUCCGAUUCCGUCAAAAACCCAAGCCUUAAGACGCGCCACACAAGCUCGCUGGUUUCAGUUCUGAAGCUUUGAAAAAUGAAAAUCUAUUUCUAAACUCCAACUAAUAACGACAUUUCAGAGCUUCGAUCUGCAACCACGGCUACAAGUACAAACUCAGGCACGAUCUAGCAGAGAGUCCAGAGUUCCGAAAUUCGACGAUUUUUCGAGAGAAAAAUGUAUCUGCAGAUGCGAAAACAGAAAACCACAAAAAACUUAGCACAAAGACCAAACAUGAAAUAGAAGAAGCGAACAAUUGAGAAAAAAAUCUUUCUCUGCCUCAAUUCCAAACCUCUAAAACUAGAAAUUAACGAGCACCUUCAAAUAUCGCAAACGAACGAAUGAAAUCUUCAGAAGAGAAUUAACAAUUUGAUUCUGACAAAUUCUGUCAAAUCCUUGUCUGAUAGACCUGCAGAUAGAAAAAAAAUGAGACGAAAAAAACAAAGUCAAGAUUAGCGAUUUGAUUAUGCUCAAAAUCCAGAAAGAAAAAUAGCAAAAGAAGAAACGAAGUUGAAAAUUGCAGUAACCUUAUUCAAUGUUCAAAAAGUAGCAGAUCCUCAACAUUCACCGUUCACUAAUCACAAUUCGCGUCGCAGACGCAGUUUGGCGUAACAGAAAAUGGUGGAAACGAAGAAAUAAAAAUAAAAAAGUCCUCAGAAAAAUAAAUUAGAAGAUGUAAGAAGGGUACAGGGUGUUUCUUCUUCUUCUUCUUCGCUUUGUUCUCAGUGAUAGAGCGAAAUGCUCUCUGUUAUAUAAAUCUUCUGCCACGCUCCGGAAAUUCUUUACCGUUGAUCUCUGAUCUGACGGCUCUCGCUUACCCUCGCUUGAACCAUACAUAGAAACCCGUUACGUCGUUUAUGCGAGCCCUUCUGUCGUUUAAUUUUUCUAACGGCGUUACCCCUAUUAACGGAAUCUGCAGAGCCGUCAGAUCCCGAUUAUUUAUUACUUCUAUUUUAAAAUUGUUUUUUGUUUUAUUUUAUUUUCGCACUGGUUCAUGCUCGCGCCCAGAAAUGAUGAUGGUUGGUAUUGCAAGUUAACUAGGGUUAGUUAACCUGAUGAUGGUUAGUUUUAGCAUCAUUUACUAAACCAGAACAUUGAUUUGUUUCUCUUCGGUCUUCAUUUUCUGCGAUCACUGAUCAGAUGUCUGGACUUUUGCUUAUUUUAUUUUAUAUAUACAUACAUUAAUAUUGGUUAUAAAUAGUAAGCAAUGUUGUUGAUACAGUAUUUUUAUGUAUAAUAAAAGUAUAUUUUAUACAAGUUAUGUUAAAAAUAAGUUUAUUUUAAUAAAUUUUGUAUAUAACAUAUAAUGAAUAGUAUUAAAAAAAUAUUUGUUUAAAAGCGUGUUUUCAUCCAACAACUAAUAAUUAGAAUAGACUAAGUAUGUUUUGUAGAGAGUUAAAAUAUUAAUAAGGACGGAGGAAGAUAGUUCUAUUAGGAUUUUGGGUGAGACUUUCAAGAAAGAGAGAAGAUCUUCUUCUUCGAAAUACUUGCAAUCUCAAAGGUGGAUGACAUUGUGAUGAAUGGAAAUGUUGGGAUUUAAUUCUAAAUAUAGAAAUUCAAUCAAUCAGUAUAAUCAUUAAUUUUAAUCAUAUGCUUUUUAUUCAUAUAAAGACUGUACAAAAAUGAAUAAAGUCAUUUUAUAUUUUCAUAAUCAAAAUCAUGAUGAAAACUAAAUGCAGAAGCAUACCUACAUUAGUCAUAAUGGAAUGAUGAUAAAAUGUUGAUCAGAAAAUUGGUUUCAUGACCUUCCAAUUCUAGAGAGUCAUUCUUUUCUUUCCUGAAUUUUUCUCUUCGGACGGAGGAAGAGAAAACUGUACGUUCCUUUCUACAAAUGGGACCAUAAUCCCUUAUAUUGUUACCAUUUAUUCGUUACCCCAAAUUUGAUAAUUAUAAUUUGUCCCUCAUCAAAUUAUAAUAUCACUCUAUCUAUACAAUUAUCAUUUCAUGACAUAUAUGCCUUUAGCCAUACUUUUAUAUUGAUUAGGCCACUUUAAUAUUCUGGUUAAUUAUAUAAUGGCCCUAUAUAUAUAUAUAUAUAUAUAUAUAUAUAUAUAUAUAUAUAUAUAUAUAUAUAUAUAUAUAUAUAUAUAUAUAUAUAUAUAUAUAUACACUUACAAUCCUUAUGAAUGUGUUAGACUUUAUGAGCUCAAAAUUUGCCAUUACAUGUCUUGAGCAUAUUUCAAAAAUCUUGUCCAUUGAUUACAUCCACAUGUAGAACCAAAAUAGUUUUCAUUGUAUCAAUCACAACUAAACUCAUCAAUGAUCACUAAUGCUGACAUAAUCAAAUGACAUAGACUUGUCAUGAAAUGUGUAGCAUGAAAAUUACAUGCAGGUGGUUUGUACACGUCUAUUUUUAAUUGGUCCUACUUUACCUCAACAAGAUCAUUUAAUAACCUUAAUGUACAAAGUGUAAUAACUGAAUAAUAAACCAUAUAUAUUUAACCAAAUAUAUCCAAAAGUCAAUAUAUGCAUACAUAAAAUCUAACAGAGAACAUAAAAUACAUAAAAGUGACUAACUCCCACUAAACCAAAGAUUCCUCGAAUUGUAAAACACUUAUGUGAGCAACAUGCUCAUGAAAGACCUUGGGUGGAAGUCCCUUAGUAAGAGGAUCUACUAUCAUGGAGUUUGUCCCUAAGUGUUCUAUUGAAAUUUGUCCACUCUAUACCCUUUCCUUAACAACUAGGAACUUGAUGUCAAUAUGCUUCGACUUGGUCGAGCUCCUAUUGUUGUUAGAAUAAAAUACAACUGAUUUGUUGUCACAAUAUAACUUAAGUGGUUUUUCAAUUCCUUCCACAAUUUACAGCCCUGUGAAAAAAAUUUGUUGGACAUGUGACCUCAAAAAUCUUAAGAAUGGGUGAAUUAAUUUCUCACUAGCAAACUUUUAACCCCCUUCUAAAAGAGAUAGGCUCAGAAUGCAGAAAAAGCAGCAAUCAAUUUAAUAAUGUUCUUUAAACAUGAAAGACAAAAUUGAUUGCAACAAAAUAAGUGAGAUAAGGGAAGAGAGAAUGCAAACACAGUUUUUAUACUGGUUUGACAAAGUCCGUGCCUAUGUCUAGUACUCAAGCAACUCACUUGAGAUUUUCCACUCCCUUUGUAAAAAUCUAUUUACAAAGUCUAAACCACACAGGGACAACCCAUCCCUUGUGUUCAGGAAUCCUUAGAACUUAAGAGACCCUCAAUCCCUUAAUCAAUCUCUUUGAAUAAGAAGAAAGAAAGAAGAAUUCUCUCUUGAAGAGAAGGAUAUUACAAUUGAAGUCCAUGGAGAAACUCUUAAUGGAUUUAUAAGUGUUUGCCUAAGAGUUUCUUUUGAGAGAGCACUUGGCAAUGAAGUUCUCUUGGAAUCUCUCUCAUUUCCUUUUGAGAGGAUAAGACAUUUUGAACAAGCAAAACUCUCUCUUCAAAAUUCAUGCCCAAGUCACCUAUUUAUAAGCCUUUGUUGGCCAUUCACAAAUUCAAUCAAAAGAUGUGGCUGUUGACAAAUUUUCUGAAAACUCUCCAUUGGUAAUCAAUUACAAUGCUUGUGUAAUUGAUUACACAGUUAUAAUUUGAAGGGCUAUGACUUUUGAAUUUGAAUUUCCAAUGUCCCCUUCUUGAAACAAGGCUUUGUUUGUUGAAGCAUUCUUGAAUUAAUCUUGAAGCAAAUGCUUAUCCUUUAAAGCGACCUUGUUUAAUUCUUCUUUGGCAUCAUCAAAAUUCAUGUAUUCAUACAUUCACAAAUUUUUCAACCAUAUUCCAUGAUUUGAUGCCUCAUAGCAUGCCAAAAAUUCUGCCGCCACAGUGAAUGAAGUAGUAAGGGUUUGCUUGGCACUGUGCCAAGAAACCGCACCACCGGCUAACAUGAAAAUAUAAGCUGAAGUGGAUCUCAAACUAUCUAGGCAUCCUGCAAAAUCUUAGUCAGAAUACCCAGUAAUCUCCAACUGAUCUGACCUCUUGUAUGUGAGCAUAUAGUACUUUAUUCUCUUCAAAUACCUCAUAACCCUUUUGGCUUCUUUCCAACAAUCCAUUCAUGGAUUGCUCAAAUAUCUGCCUAAUACCCCAAAUGUAUGCUAUAUCCGGACGCGUAAAUACUUGGGCAUACAUCAAACUCCCUACAACUGAUGCAUAGGGAAUCUUCUACAUUUCCUGAAUUUCUAAAUUUCCUUUUGGGCACUAUUUGAGACUAAACUUGUCCCCCUUAGCAAUUGGAGUAUCCCCGGAUUUACAUUCCUGCAUGUCAAACCUUUUAAGUACCUUUUCGAUAUAGCUUCUUUGUGAUAAUCCUUGAAUACCCCAAGAUCGAUCUCGGUGUAUCUGAAUUCCUAAUACAAAGGAGGCAUCACCAAGAUCUUUCAUUUCAAAGUUUCUUGAUAGAAAUCUCUUGGUUUCGUGCAACAUGCCUAUAUCAUUAGUGACAAGCAGUAUGUCAUCAACACAUAAGACCAAGAAAAUGUACUUGCUUCCACUGAAUUUGUGAUACACACAAUCAUCAACAAGAUUCAUCUCGAAACCAAAUGAAAGAAUUACUUGAUGAAAUUUGUGAUACCAUUGACGAGAUGCCUGUUUUAGCUCAUAAAUGGAUUUUGUCAGUUUGCAAACCAUAUUCUUUGGGUCUCCUGACACAAAGUUUUCUGAUUGUACCAUAUAAAUUGUUCCAUCAAUGUUGUCAUUGAGAAAUGUCGUCUUGACAUCCAUUUGAUGAAGCUCCAAAUCGUAAUGUGCAACAAGAGCCAUGAUUGUCCUAAAAUAGUUUUUUGAUGAAACAGGAGAGAAAGUCUCUUUAAAGUCAAUCCCUUCCUUUUGGGUAUAGCCCUUCGCCACAAGACGAGCCUUAUACCUCUCCACAUUACCAUUGGAAUCCCACUUGGUCUUAAAUAUCCAUUUGCACCCAAUGGGUUUCACACCUUCUGGUAAUGGGACAAGUUCCCAAACUUUGUUGUCUUGCAUGGACUUAUACUCCUUAUUCAUUGCUUCAAUCCACUUUUCUGAGUUGGAAUCUUGCAUGGCUUGAUGGAAGUUGACUGGGUCAUCUUCCAUCAUACCAUUAUUUUCCUCAUGUUCCCGGAGAAAUACCACAUAAUCAUCUGGAAUAGUACUUCUCCUUUCUCUUAUAGAUCUCCGCAAAGGUACUGGCUCAUGAAGCAUAGGUUCUUGAGGAUCUUGAGUUUGUUCUUCAUGAAUGACCAAAUUAUCUUGAGUGGGUCAAUAACAAUAUCUUGUAGGGGUUCUGAAUUUGCUUUAUCAAAAGCAACUGUAUGAAUUGAUUCUGGAAUUGUUAUUGAUCCUUCCUCUAAGACAAACUCUCUAACUUUAUUCUUCCCCCUAACUCAAUAUCCUCAAAGAAUGUGGUGGUUCCCGUCUCAAAAAUUGUCUUUAAUUUGGGAUCAUAAAAUUUAUAGCCCUUGGAUCUUCCAGAAUAACCAAUAAAGUAGUUGCUCACUGUUCGAGAGUCCAAUUUCCUUUCAUUUGGCUUAUAAGGCCUUGCCUCAGAUGGACAUCCCCAUACAUGAAAAUAUUUUAAACUAGGCUUUCGCCCAACCCAAAGCUCAUAAGGUGUUUUGGCAGCUGCCUUAGUUGACACUCUAUUUAGAAUGUAAGAUGCAAUCUUUAAUGCCUCUCCUCAGAGUGACUCUAGUAAGUUAGAAUGAAAAAUCAUGUUUCUUACCAUAUCCUUAAGAGUUUUGUUUCGUGUUUCAGCCACACCAUUCAUGCUAGGUGACCCCGACAUGGUGUAUUGUGGGAUGAUUCCACAUUCCUCUAGAUACCUGGCAAAAGGCCCCAGACAUUGUUCACCUGAACUGUCAUAUCUGCCAUAGUAUUUACCACCACGGUCAGAUCUGACACACUUUAUUCUUUUGUUGAGUUGAUUUUCAACUUAAACUUUAAAUGUUUUGAACACAUCCAAAGAUUGUGGCUUUUCAUGUAUAAGAAACAAGUAUGCAUAUCUGGAUUAAUCGUCUAUGAAUGAUAUAAAAUAUUGUCAACCACUCCACGAAGGUGUAUGAAAUGACCCACAUAUAUUCGUAUGUAUCAAUUCUAAGACGUCUGUAGCCCUAUAUGCACUUAAUUUCUUGCUUUUGGUCUGUUUACCUUUAAUGCAUUCAACACAAACAUCAAAGCUUGUGAAAUCAAUGGAAUCCAAGAUUCUGUUUGACACAAGUUGUUCAAUUUUGUUCUUAGAAAUGUGACCUAAGCGCUUGUACCAUAAUGCUCCCGAGUUUGUAUUAUUAAUUCUACACUUAGUACCACACAAUUUUGUAUUAAAGGAUUCACCAUAGGAAGCUACAGUAUCAAGUAAAUAUAGAUUAUCAUUAACCAAGAGUGAACCAGUUCCAACAAUAUUUGAAUUAAAAGACAACCUGAACACAUUGUUUCCAAAUGAACACUAAUAAUCCAAUUUGUCCAAAUAAGAAACUGAAACCAAAUUCCGUCUAAAUGACGAUACAACAAAAGUGUCUUCUAAAUCCAAAUAAAAACCAGUACAUACUAAUAAUCUAAAGUGUCCUAUAGCUUCCACUUCCACUGAUUUACCAUCUCCAACAUAGAUCCAUCUUUUAGAAUCAAUUGGCUUCCGAUAGCUUAGGCAACCAUGCAUUGAAACACUGAUGUUAGUAGUGGCACCAGAAUCUAACCACCAAGUGUUUCUAGGUACUAGAGCUAAAUUGACCUCAGAACAUAACAAAGUAAGAAAUAUACCCUUCUUUGCACGCCAAGCAUGAUAUUUGGUACAUUUCUUCUUUACAUGUCCAAACUUACUGCAAAAGAAACAACUGUCACAUUGAUUUUGUUUCUUUUGUGUUGGACCCUUAGCAGCUUCAUUCUUGGGCUCCUCAAUUCUUUUCCGUUUGCCCUUGUCUUUAGAGGUACUCACAACAUGAGUACUUUCAAUCUUUUCUUGCUUCAGUCUUUCUUAUUCUUGCACACAGUAUGAAAUGAGCUCAUUAAGAGACCAUUUCUCCUUCUUACAGUUGUAAGAGAUCUUAAACUGACUAAAUUGUGAAGGAAGAGAAAUUAGCACUAAAUUCUGAUAGCUCAAGCUUUAGUGCCCUUAAUUUUGAAGCAAUAUUUGACAUUCCCAUAAUGUAUUCCCUGACAUUUUUCUUUGCCUUGAUACUUCAUGGAAAUCAAGUUCCGAAGGAGAGUACUUGUUUCCGCCUUAUCGCUUUUUGCAAAGCGCUUUUCAUUUCAGCAAGGAAUUCUUUGACACUGGUUAUAUCAUCUGAAAUAGUGUUCCUAAAGACCUCAGGAAUGUCACGCUUAAUGAUCAUAAGACUCAUGCGAUUUGAGUGAUCCGACUUCUAUUGAAGUUUACUCUGUUAAGAGGUACUGAAUCCGUGUGAGAAGGGGGUUUCUCAAUCCUUAAUACAAGGUCUAGAUCCAUGCAGGCAAGAACAAUUUACAUGUUCUCUUUCCAGUCCUUAAAAUUUGCACCAUUAAGAACUGGAACCGAAUCCAGAUUAGCAAAUAUAGAAGCAACAACUGAAAAGAUCAAAACAAAUGCAAUACGCUCACAUAGCAGUCGUCAAUGCAUUUAAAUAAUCGUAUAUCUCAUCUCAAGAUAUCUAGAGCACCGUUAAUAUCAAGUCUUUGAACAGUGGUAUUAAUUGCUAGUGAUAUCCUUAUUGUAAUGUUCAAACAUUGAUAAUAAAAGCAUGUCAAACAACAAACCCAUCUUUUGAUGUGACUUAUCAUUCAUAUGCAAAAUCUCAUAAUUAUCACAUGUUUAACAUCACAGGUGUGUACGUAACUUAGUUAAAUGGUAACUUUCCUUUGGGCCAAUCACCAUUCAUAUAAAUAAUCACACACGUUAACCUUUAACAUUUCUCAUGAACAAUCUACACAAGAGAGGUCACUUUGGUGAUAUCUUGAUUCAAUUAGCUCAUUUAAAUGCUAAAUAAUUAAAAUGAUAUACCAUAACUGAAUUUUGAACAUUGAUACACCAAAUCCAAAAUUAAAACGUUUCUUGAGUAAAUUAUUUUAACUUUAUUUAUUUAUUUUAAAUUUAGAGGCCCAUGAUUAUUAUUUUAAUAUACUACAGCGGCCUCUAAAAGUAAGAACAAACACAUAAAUGAUGCAUUUAAAUUUAUACCAAAUGCUUUAUAUCAUUGUUCAUUUUGUAGUAAUGUGAUAAUCUUAUUUUGUUUCCUCAAAACAUUGUACCUAAUGUGUGUAUGUUGUCCAAACAUCAUACAUGAAUCAAGUAUGAGAUGCUCUGAUACCAAAUGUUGGGAUUUAAUUCCAAAUAUAGCCUAAUUUCAUUCUAACAGACAAUCAUCAAUUCUAACCACAUGCUUUCUAUUAAUGUAGAGAGAAAUUACUGUACAGAGAUGAAUAGAACCCCUUUGUGUUCUCAUACUCAAAAUCAUGAUGAAAACUGAGAUGAAUAGAACCCCUUUGUGUUCUCAUACUCAAAAUCAUGAUGAAAACUAAACGCGGAAGCGUACCUGGAUUAUCCAUAAUGGAAUGAUGAUGAUGAAAGGUUAAUCAGAAAAUUGGUUUUAUGACCUUCCAACUGUAGAGAGCCCUUCUUUUCUUGUCUGAAUUUUUCUUUCCGACAAGGAUAAAGAGAAAACUGUACACGUGGAGUUGCUCUCUAGAAAUGGGGACCAUAACCCCUUAUAUUGGUAACUACCAUCAGUUACCCCAAAUUUGAUAAUUAUAAUUUGGCCCCUCAUCAAAUUAUAAUAUCAUUGAUAUCUACACAAUUAUCCUUUUAUGACAUAUAUGCCCUUAGCCAUACUUUUAUAUUGAUUAGACCUCUUUAAUCUUCUUGGCUAAUUAUAUAAUGGCCCUAACUCAUUCAAUUAUGUGAUAUAUAUAUAUAUAUAUAUAUAUAUAUAUAUAUAUAUAUAUAUGUAUGUAUAUGUAUAUGUAUAUGUAUAUGUAUAUGUAUGACCCAAAAUUGCUAACAGAGUAGCCUUUCUAUAUGAUUAAAUUAUUGGAUAACAAGGGUCCUAUGCCAUUUUAUGCUUUUGAUGGAAGAGGUUUUGGUAAACUAGAGAUCAAGAUUCCUCUUCCUUCAAUAUUGAAAAAAGACAAAGAAGCAUUUUAAGGAAGUUCCUGUUUCGGAUGAAGAGUAUAAUGACUCGCACAAGCCCUAGAAAGGAUCACUCAUGGUUACAAUACUUGGUAAGCAUAUUAGUUUUUGGAUAUUGGGGCGAAGUUAAAUCGUGAUUGGGCUAAAAAGGGCUCAAUUAAGAUUAUUGAUGGUCUAAAAAAUUAUUAUCAAGUAUUGUUUACGUCGGAUGAAAACAAUAAUAUGGUAAUCUUUGAAGGUAUUUGGAUGAUGGUUGAUCGUUAUGUUUUAGUGAAACAAUAGAGACCUUUCUUUUAGGCCAAUACAUCAGUGAAAAGGAAGCUAGCAGUUUGGAUUAACAUUCCAGAGUUACCAAUUCAGUUGUAUAAAGAUGAAAUUAUUGGGAGAGUUGGUUUCACAUUAGGAGUGAUGUUUAAAAUUGAUCAAGUUACUUCUAUUUAUUUUUUAGGUCAAUUUGCUAGAAUAUGCAUAGAAAUUGAUCUUGAUAAGCUUCUGUAGCCCAAAAUUAUUGCUCGUGGAUAUCUUUUGAAUCUUUAGUAUGAAAAUCUUUAUCUAAUAUGUUUCAAAUGUGACAAAUAUGGCUACAAGGAUAAUGCUUUUAAGAGGUAGCUUAGGAGAGUGUAGUAGUGAAAGCAGAUGCAAAUGCACCAAUGGUGGAGGAUUUACUCUCGCGAAGCAAGCGAAAGUUGUCUUUUUUAAAUUUCCUUUUGUAACGGAUGACAUAGUUUCUACAUAAGAUAUGAUACUAUUAAUUGCAUCAAUGUUGAUUCUAGCAUGUGUGGGUUGUAGAUUUUUGCCAAGGAAAACAUAUGUAGAAAGCCCCAUCAUAGGGGCAUUGAUGGCAGAGAAGUGGGGUCCAAUAUGAUGAAGGACAGAAUAGAAAAAAAACAUUUUCUAAUAAUGGGAAUAAAGGAUCUUGAUUUCAAGAUCUUGAUAAGGGGUUAGUAGAGGCAUGUUAGGUCAUGAGGGGUAAAAAAGCGGGUUACGGGCCAAAAUGAGAGUUUGACCAAGUGUCAUUUGCUAAAGGUGAUUCAGUGGGCCAUAACAAUGCUAAACCCAAAAGGGCAAAGGUAGUGAUCCAAUUUAAAUAAACAAGAGUGUCAAUCGGGGCCAAGAAAAAUGAAGCUUCUUUGGUUUAGAAAAUAAGGAAGGUCGAAGGUUGAAAAGGUGUUGUAGAUUGUGCCAAAGAUGAUGAAGUCCUAUAAAUGAUUUGUGUUUUUCAAAAUAUGAGUACAUGUUUUAUUUUUUGAUGGAAUUACAAGCAAGAUGUGUUGGAAGGGAAUGUAAUUUAUAUAGAUGAAGAUAUUAUUCUUUUUUGGCGAAUAAGUGAAGACUGUUGCAUCUUUAGAUAUGGAAAUUGAAAGUGGGACUGUUUGCUAGUUAGAUGAUACUAGACCUUUGUAGGUCAACCAUUUUUCCCUUUCUUAAUGAAUCUUUUUCGUGCAAUUGUAGAGGUACAUGAAGUAAAGAGUUUUUGAAUCUUAUGACUGAGAUAAGAAGAGAAAAUUUUGCUUCUCUUGUUUUUCUUUUAGAGAUGUAUUUGUGGGAAGCUCAUGGGCACUCUGGAGGUAUUUAGUGCCUAUGGGAUUUGGCUAUGUGAAAGGUGAAAGUUCUUGAGCACUCAUGUUUGUCCAUAUGCUUGAGAGUUUGUUGGAGGUGUAAUACCCUUCAUUAAAAUAACUCCCCAUACUAAAAAGAAUAUAAAAUCUCAAAAUUAUAUUAGUCUGAAAAUAUCUCAUGUAUAAUAAAUGAAGUCAAAUAAAUAAGUUUUUACAUGAGUAAAAAUAUUAUUCUCAAAUAUAGGCAUCUAAAAAUAUCUGAUGCUAAAUUUGACAUAUUAUUUUGAGUACUGACAAACCUAAAAAUGUAUCUAGAGGUAACUAAGUCUUUAAACCUCCUCAAUUUCAACAGCUUCUUCCUUAUACUAUGAAAACGACACUUUUAAUGAGAUGAUAAUCGCAUUGAAUAAAACAAACUUAAAGUAUUUGUAAAUAGUGUUAUUCUUAAUCGAUGCGGUAAUCCAAAAAAUCAGUCAUGAAAUUCGCAAUGAAUUUAGAAUAAGAUUAUAUAUGUAUAUAUACUCCAAUAAAAAUCAUAUUAAAACAAUCACAAUUUAUGACAUUCUGAAUAAAUAAAUGACAACACCUCAAUUCAUCCAAAUAAGUAUAACAAACACAACUUAGUGAUUCCAAAAAUCACAAGACUCAAUUCUUUGAUUCCUAGAACCAGGGUGGAUCUCAGAUUCUUUAAAGAGUCUUUGAGCUCAUAUUCCAUGCAAUGAUAUCUCCCUGUCUUUUCUAUCAUAGAUGAAGGUAUCCAGAAUCUCUUCCUCAUCUCAGAUGGAGGUAUCUAUAAUAAUUUUAUUUCCAUGCCAAAUGAAGAUAUCUAUCAUAUAUUUCAAAAUUAUCAAUUUAUGAUAUGAACAAUGUUUCAUUCACAAUUAUAAUUAAAUAAACACACAAAUAUAUAAAUACCAACAUUGUCAUUCACGCACAAGGCACAAACACACUUGUGAGAAAAUACCACAAAGUAACAUCAAUGUUUAUGUGUGUGUGUGUGUGUAUGUAUGUGUAUACCAUUCGUACCCCAAAUUUUCCUUUACCACUAUUAUUCAAAAAUUAAAUAUAAUAUAGUCCAGCAUAAAAAUUAAAAGCAAUUAGACUUAUAUUUAUAUUCAAUGACACAAAUAUUUGAAUGGGAAAAGAACUCUCACACAUCCCCUAUAACAAAUUAAAAUAUCAUUGAAGUUUGUUGUCUUGAGACGAAAUAUUAGUGCAACACACUACAAUACAAAUCAAUUAGUUAAAGAAAUUAUACAUGUUCUAAAAUAUAUUUGAUACUAAUGUAAAUUCUUGAAUUCUUUAUAUCAAGAUCACCACAGAAUAAAACGUUCAUAAGAAUUAUACCUUGAAAGUUUAGAAGAAAGUUAUUUUACUCACUUCUUGAAGCAAGUAAUUCCAAUUCUUUAUUAUCUUUGAAUCAACAAAAUUUUCCUAUUUCUUUCUUCUUCUCAAUCCUUGAGCAACUCACUAAUGUCAAGAGAGAUUGUUUAUUUGUGUGUUUCUAGGAAAAUGAAUGAACUGUCUUAUCCUUAUAUAAGUGUUGUACAGAAUUUGAAAUAAUAUCUUUUGAUAUUUGUUUAACCAACCUUUUUUAUUAUCUUUAACCAAUCUAAUAUAUUAUUAUACUAAUAUCUUUUCAAGAAAUAUAACAAUCUAAUGUAUUAAAACAAUUUAAUUUAUCUCUUUAUUUACUAAAUGAUAUAUUUAAAUAAUCUUUAUCUAAACAUUUAUUGGAUUAUUUUUGGGAUGUUAUAGGAGGAAUUAUUGUUCUAGGCUUCUAACAAUUGUUUAUGACAUUAUUCAUAUUACUCUUCGUCAAAGUUUAUGAGAUGAUUUUAAGUCUCUAGCUUUGGAUAUUGAUAGGGCAUAGGCGGUUGUGGGGGAUUUUAACUCUAUCCUUCAUUCUCAUGAAAGGAAAUGUGACUUUCCUUCUCUAUUUUGUAGAGAUGUUAUAGGUUUUAAUCAAAUGAUGAAGGAUUGUGAGCUCAUUAACAUUGGUUUCUAGGGAUGUCCAUUUACUUGGAAAAGAGAGAAUUUGGAGCAAAGGCUCGAUAGAGUGUUGAUGAAUUUGCAAUGAAGGUUGAAAUUUCAGGAUGCUACGAUUUUCCACUUGCCUCCUUUUAAGUCGGAUCAUAAGCCUUUUUUGAUAAAGUUAGUAGUUAAUGUAGGGAAAAAUAAUCAUAGAAGGUUUUCACUUCAUGGUUGUUUGGGUUACUCAUGAUUAUUUCAAUAAGUUUAUGAGAACUAAUUGGAAACCUUCAAGUUCUUAGAGCCAACAUCUUCAAGAGUAUUUUUUUUGCUUUCUACAAAUUUGUCAUAAGAUAAUAAACAAGCUUUAACAAAAUGAUAAACAACACAUGAGUAUAAAUAAGCUUUAAGUUAGAACAAUCUUGUGUCAGUUGAUCCACGUGCUCGGUAACAAUACAUGUGUUCUUUAAAUAAACAAGAGUCAUGUUCAUAAAUUUUAUAAAAUUAUUAUUUUACAUUUUUACUUAGUUAUUUUAUUAACAUUAAAUUAUUUUUCAAAUUUUAGAGAAUGACAAAUUCAUUACUAUCAUUUUGUUUUUCCAAUUUUUAGAUAUAGUUUUGAUUUGUUGUGGUAUGUCCAUGGGAACAUGUAAGGCAUCUACAGUGUAUGAUUGUUUAUCUUAAUUUUGUAGGUCUUAUAAUUAUUUUUUUUACCGAUUAAAAUGGUAGAAUGGGAAGUCACUCUCAAUACUAUUGGACAAGGCGUCAAUGACAUGUUGGGGCUGCCAGCAUAGGCCCACCUAGAGGACAACCACACAUGUUUGAAUUGCAAGCAGUUACACCCAAUUGCAGUUAGGGUUGUGCAAAAAAAUCCAAAUAUGUAAAACCAAUUCAUAUCCAAUUCAAUCAAAUCCACUUUAAAUCCAUUUAAAUGGUAUGGUUUCAUAUCCAAAUUCUUUUUUUUUUAUUUUAAGUCCAAUCCAAUUAAUUGAAUGUGGAUUAGAUAUUUGUUUGAAUUUUUUAAAUCCAAUACAAUUUUAUGGACGAUGACGGCUAGGUUUUUUUGGCCAACUUCGAUAGGACAUAUUUUUUGGUUGAUGUCGUCUAGAUUUAUUUUGGUUGACAUCAACUGAUGAUGUUUUUAAGUCGUCAUCGGUUGAGACUGUUUUUCGAUUAAUGUCGAUAAGGGGUUUUUUGGCUGACAUUGAUUGAAACUAUUUUUUGACCGAUGUCAUCCAAAGUUUUUUUGGUCAACAUCAGUCGAGACUAUUUUUUGGUCAACGUCAACUAGGGUUUUUUUUGUCAAUGUCUAUUGAGAUUAUUUUUUGCUUAACGUUGGGUAAGUUUUUCGACCAAUAUUGGCUAGGGUUUUUUUUGGUUGACGUCAAAGGAGACUAUUUUUUUACCGACGUCAACUAGAAUUUUUUUGGUCAAUAUUGAUUGACACCGACCAAAAAAACCUAGUCAACAUCGGCCAAAAUAUUCCCUAAUUGAUGUUGGUCGAAAAAACCGAGUUGAUGUCAACAAAAAAAUAUCUCUAGCCAACGCCGACCAAAAGAAAUAGUCAUGGUUGAUGUUGGCCAACAAACCCUAGCUGACAUCAAUAAAAAAAAAUAGUUUCAACCAACGUUAGCAAAGAAACCCAGUCAACGUCGACCAAAAAAUAGUCUUGGCUAAUGUUGUCCAAAAAAUAUCAGCGACCGACAUCGACCAAAAAACACCUUACCGAUGUCGGCCACAAAAACCCUAACCAAUGUCACCAAAAAAAUAGUCACGAUCGACACUGAUUGAAAACCCUUUGUCAAUGUCGACCAAAAAAUAUCAACGACCGACAUUGACUAAAAACCCUAAUCCACCUCAACCAAAAAAUAGUCCUACUUAAGAUCGGCCAAAAACAUCCUUGACCGACGUCGACCGCAAAAUGCACUGACCAAUGUUAGCUGAAAAAUAAUCAUGGUUGACGUCGGUCUAAAAUUGUUUGGGCCGAUGUCAGCCGAAAUUUCCCUGGUUGAGGUAGGCCGAAAAUACUCUAACCAAGAUCGAUCGAAAAUAAUCUUGACCAAGGUCAGUUGAAAAUAGCUCUUGCUAAAUUUGAUCAAAAACUACAACGACCGACAUUGAUCGAAAACUGUCUCAAUUAACUUCGGGCAAAAAUAGUUUUUGAUCUGAAAACUGGAUUUGUAAUGGCUUCGAAAAAUCCAAAUUGAUUUUUUACAAAAUAUGAAUUUUGAUUUAAAUCCAAUCCAUUUAGUUGAAUAUGAUUUUAAAAUCCAAUUCAUUUAAAUGGAUCUAUAUUGGAUUUCUAAAAAUCCAAUCCAUGCCCACCCCUAGUUGUAGCUACUCAACUAGCUGUAGGCGCCAAAAGAUCUCCUUGAAGAGGGUUUCCCACCAAGCGGAGAAAGAGGCGUCAAGGGAUUCAAACCCACAACCUUACAAUCCCAUAUAGAUUUAAGUAUUUUACAUAAAAUUCGUUCCAAUAUUAAGUUGCUAAAAUGAGUGUUUAACUUAAUUGUGAGUCCUACAAUAAUUGAAAAACAUAUUAUUUAUGAUAUAAAUUUGAUUAAACAACCUUGCGUAUAUAAGCAAUGGUGUUUAUAUGAACAAUUUCAUGUCAUUUGCUCCAAGGAAAAAUAAAAGAAACUUAUUAACAUUGCUUAAAGUUAAACAACUUAUAUAAGCACAUGUAAUAGAAAUGCUCAUAAUAUUUUUUUCAUAACUAACUAUCUUACUCAACAAGUAUAAAAAAUCAUUAAAUAUUUAAAAUACAUUAAAUAUUUUUUUUAUUUAACAGCAAGUCACCACUAAAGACGUAGAUUAAUUGAUUAGGAAUUAUUUCAAUUUAAUUAAUGAUGUCAAGUUUAACUCAUGAAUAUACAAAGGUGAAAUUCCUGUAAAAGGUUCCUCAUGUUUGGUAAAAAAAAAAGAUUUGUAAAACAACAUAACAUUACUCUUUUAUCUAUUGCGAUUUACUUUUGGAGCAGUCACUUGACUAUUAAAUGCACACACUCGUUAAGUUUUGAGAUCUAACACGUUGAAAAUGAGAUCCUAUUGUUAGAGCUUGUGAUCCUAUGUCCUUUACCUCUGUUGUUCCAUGGUUCUAUUCUUAUGUUAGGUUAGAACGUUUGAUCCCUUAUAUUAUGAUGCACCUAAGAGAACCUCUUCAUAUGAAAAAUUCGGAAUUCACUAAGAGUUGAUUACGGCAUGAAGAAAACACUUGUUAUUUCAGUAUACUAUAACUCAUUUCGGCAAAAUAUACCAACAUAAUUAUUCUUAUUCAAAUUUGAUGUCAUGCUUUUAAGUUGUCCUUCAAAUAAAAAUUAUCCCAAACUUUAGAUAAACAAAAGCAUCAACAAAAUAAUCACAACUAAUAAAAUAGUCGUACUUUAUCCCAAUGAGUGUUGUAAAGGUGUACCCAAGCAUAAUUGAGUCCCAAUAUUUUACAAAAAUAAAUACAAGUUGUCAUUAAUAUUAAACAAUAAUUUUGGCAUCAUAAAUUCUUCCGGAAUAAUUAUACAAAAGUGACCAGGGAAAACCCGAUCUGCCAGUUGCCCACUGAAUAAAAACACACAUCAUAUUACUAUGUGUUGUCAUACAUGCAUUGUAAUGAGUGGAUAUUCCAAAGCAAUUGGUCCCUUUAUCCCUCCUUAAUCCUUAUGCCGUAAAUGGCACCAUCCCUUGUAAAUUGUAAUUGCUUCUUCAGAAAUAGAAUUAUACAAAGGUAGUUGCAAUAUCUAUUUGCCAAACUAUAAAUGUAAAGACCCUUCUUCCCAAUCCUAGUAGUGUCCCAAUUGUAUUUACAAAGGUGGGACAAGAUAUGUAUAUACAAGUACAACCAUGUAACAUAAUGUAACAAUAAUCAUACUUUGGUCUUUACUAGUGCACAUUACAGGGAGUUAUUAUGCACUGAAACCCCUUUGCAGAGAACUCCAGGGAUUGGAAGGAAUACUGACACAAGCUUGUGCUGAAGCCUCAGCCAUUUGUUCAUUCUUUAUCCCUACAUUGCAGAUGUUUGCAAAGGACCUCAUGUGUUUCAUCCCGUAUUGAGACAAGGAUCCACAAUGUGUCUCAAAAGUCCUCACCUGCAUUCAAAAUCGAUCAAAAGGUGAAGCAUUUUCUCAUAAACCAAAGUGAACAAGAAGAUGCUCUACAGUAAGCAAGAAAGAGUGUCAAUUCCAUGCUCAAAGUUCGACAAUGUUUGCCCUUGUUAAUGUCUCAUAACAAUGUUUGCACUUGUUCAUGUGUAAAGAGUUUAUUUUUCCAAUUAGAAGCCUUCACAAAGCUCAACUUCAUCAUUGCUUCAAGGGUCAAGCCAAAAAGCAAUGAAUCUAAUUAUAUUAUAGUAGUACUAUAUUUUUAUAGUAAAAAAUAUAUGUACCAAUAAGGUAGGAAGUUUUAUACCACCAACCAAUUAGAAAUUACCAUAUACAGUAAUUUUAUUAACGUUUAUAAUAAUUAUCUUUAAAAGUCAUUCUUAGCAUAAUUUCUAUUUAAGUCACAGUGUAAAACAUCUUUACCUAUCUGAGCAUAGAUUUUAAACUCAUUUUUAUGCCAAAAGUCUAUCUAUCAUAUUGGCUUCAGAACAAAAAUGAUACCAUGGUUUUCAGGCAGUGCCAGUCAUCAACAAGUGCCGAUCCAGCCGGUCUAACAGCGUUGAGUACUUCUGGACCCUUUUCAAUGCCAAAUAAAAGCUUCCCAAUCAGUUUUACACUGUUGUCUACAUGCAUUCUGUGAGACAUUGCUUCCAAAACUUGUUUCUGAGCUGUAUUUUUCCUGAGAGAACCCUCAGGAGCUUUGCGGAACUGGCAAUAAAUAAACAGUGAAGACAGAGUGAAGAUAUACACGAUAUAAUAAGCCAAAUUUAAUGGCACACAGAAUAAAAUGUGGCAUCAGAUUACAAGCUUUAUUUUCUUGUAGUUUUAGCAUUUGGUGCCAAACAUCCAAGGGAAAAGAGGGUUACUAGCAACUCCCCCAUGCUUUAAUAGCAACAAAACAUGAGAUGUACAUAACUUUACAAAUUUAUCGAUUUUACUUCCCAAUUUGUUAUAUCUGACUAGUUAAGUUUUAUUGCAUACAAAUACUCAAAAUAUCUGUUAUGGCAUCCAAUUUAUUAACUAUUCUACUUUACUCUCAACACUCGGCAACAUUAAUUUUCUUUUUAUCCAUAGAAAUUGAAUUCAGGUAUUAGGAGAUUAAGAACAACUCUUGCACACCGCUCAAUCAAUUAAGCUAAUUUAAGCAAACAAUAUGGUUUGUUCCCAUUCUCAGUUCAUCACGUAUGUUCAUUGGUUGUCACUGGUGAGGACAAGAUCAAGAAAUUAAUUCAUAACAUAAAGAAUAAAAAAUAUUGCACAAAUAGGAUACCUUAUCCCAAAAAUGGAUGAGAUCAGCAUCACGUUGGUUGACUGGUUUUGAAGGUGACCAUAAGGAGUUUUCAUCCACAAAAGUGAAAUUAUCAUUAGCAGGAUCUGUACCCAAAUAAUGGAAGAGAACAUCUCUGCUAAGCCCUACAUCACCAUACUGCAUCACGUGAGAGCCAUAGUAUGAAUCUCCAGAUAUAGUCCUCUCUUUAACCUGUAAGCACAAGAGUAAAUAAGACAUCAGUCACACAUUUCUUAACACAAUGUUUGACCCAUAAAAUUAAACCAAAAGUCUAUCUACCAAAAUUAAACCAAGAAUUAUAUUAAAAAAGAAAAAAAAGAGUCCCACUUGUAAGUUGUAACUAAGCAAUCAAGCUAUUGAAUUAUAGUAUUCAAUUUAUAUCAUUUAAUUUACAAAAAUUAAAUCAAGUUAGCAACAAGAACUUACCAAUUUAUAUUGUUGGUGCAGAGUUUCUGUUCGCAAAUUGUGUCUGUCACUGCUCACAAGUAUAGAUAAUUGAAAUUAAAUCCCUCAAAAAUUUACAUUACUUAUAUAAAAUAAAAUUCUUCUGAUCUAAGAAAAAAAUAGCAAGGGCAAAAGUAAAUAAAUAAAUAUAAUUUUAUUAUAAAAAGCUUUUCAAAGUACAAACAAUUGGUAUAUACAACUCUCAGAGAGACAAACACAAUACGGUAGUCAAAGGCAUCGAACUACUCCAUUGUGAUUGCAUUGGUCAUGGGUAUAUAAUAUGUUUGUAAUACAAAAUCAUAACACAAUUAAUAUAUCAAACAUAAUAUUUAACUUGUGUUAUUCUUACAACAUGAUUUUCCAAAGUAUGAAAAUAGACCUAAACAACUGUUAAAAAGUGAUCUAAUAUUAAAUGGUGGCGCCAUGACCCUUAUGACCGAAUGGCGUGACAGAUUUUUUUGCCAACCAUUAUAGGCAAUUUGUGAAGGGAGACCCGUUAUGGCUGCAAGUUUAUAUGGCAAAAUUUUGGCUGCGUGUUGCAUUGAUAACACUAAUUGCAUGACAUUAAUGUCAUUUAUGAUCUAAUUAUGAUUGCUUAUUAUGCACAUACCUGUCUUCCAUCCAAGCAACACUGUACAAGUCACCCAAACAGGUUGUAUAUUCUGGGGGAGGACUAGGAUACUCCCCGGGGCAAUAUGUUCCCCAACUACUUUCUUCUGCAUUGGAAGCAGUGGUUGCAUAAAUAUUGAUAUCUUCAGGAAGAAGACCUUCAAAGAUACUCCCAGAUUCACAUGCCUCCAGAUAAAAUACCUGCACCACCAUUAUUUAAAUCCAAAGAUGAAUUUAGUGUGUGAUUAAAAUAGCUUAUUUUGUAUUCAAAUUUUGUGUUCAAAGCAGCUUGUGAGAGAGCUUUUGGGUGGAAAAAGUAGUUGCCUAAAAAAUAAUCAAAUCCAAACAUGAUAUUAAACAGCUUAAACAGGAUUGAUACCAAAAUUAAGAUGAACUAUUAGUAACUUACUAGGUUUUUAUAUGUUCCAGAAGCAUGCUUUUUCUUCAAGACUUCAAUCAGAUCAUCCGCGUAUAAGUAAGGACCAGCAGGCAUCCCUAAAAUCCAUUUCCAUAUCCAAAAAAAAAAAAAAAAAACAAGUAAGAAAUAGAGCAGAUACUAAUAUUAUUGGUAGGAAGAAUCACUUUGUCAUGCAAUGUUCCAAUAGAAAAUGUUGACAGAAGAGAUAAUGGUCAAAACAUUGGAUAAAAAAAACACUGAAAACCACAUAUCCCACCCCUCUAUCCCUCUUCUUUUUUACUUUUCCUCUGGUAACUGUAAUUUACCCUUCAUGUUAUCCACAUGUAUUGAAAAAGAACUCAAAAAAGAAAUACAAAGAGGCCAUUCAAUCUACUGAAUUAUGGGACAUAAAAAGUCUCUAGAAAAAAAGGGUAACAACAAUAUGAUAUAACGGAAAAAUAGGAUUAUAAAAUUAGAAUGCAUGAUUUUUAUUUCAAUACACUUUGAAAUGUGAUCAUUAUAAAUUACUACCUCCGAUCCUAUCUAUAAGAAACAAGUUGUAAUGUAUUUUAUGCUAUAACUUAUUUCUUAUAAAUAAGACCAAAGGUAGUAUAAAUAAAAGUUGUAUUAGGCAUGAUAGAAUGUAUUAUAACCAUAUGUUGAACCAAAGGUAAUGUAAUUAGUUCAACCGAACAACAUUAGUAAACACACUAUUUGUCAGUAACAACCUCAAUCUAGGCCUAUACCAUGCUGAAACCCAUAUAAACAACCAACACAAUCCAAUUCAUGACUUCCAUUAAAAAUUUCUGUGAAAGAAUUCAGAGGAACUAACCGAGCACCCCAGGACCUCCAUGGUCAGUAUAGUAUACAAAUAUAUGAUCAUCAGGACCACUGUCCACAACCUUCCCACUGCCACCAGUCAGUGCUGACUUAUUUCCAAGUAAAGCAGCAAAAAAGUUAUCAACAGUAACAUCUUCGCCGGUGUAAUCCUGCCAUAAAACGGUCCAUAUUAGAACCUAUCAAACUUGAAAAAGCAAAAUACAUCCGCACCCCUUAAGAUUUUUUCAAAUUAGACAUAACAUCACUUUUUUUGUUCUAUUCCCACGCUAAUCUCAUUAUGUAUGAAAAGAUUACACUGCCACCCUUUAUAUGUUACACUAAUACUCCUUAAUCUUUUGAAAAUAUUAUAUUGACAUCCUUUAUAUAUUACACUAAUACUCCUUAAAAAAAAGAUUUUUGUAAUGAUUAAAAAAGCAGAGAGUAUUUGUGUAAUGUCACGAAACCUCAGGAAUAGUUAGUGACCUAGUGUAAUUUAUUCAACUUCAAAUAGCAAUAAAAAAAUAAAAUACAGGAUGUUAAAAAACUAACAUAACUUACCUUUGGAACUCCUUUAUAAACAUCACCUCCAUCUGGUUUGUUAAUGAUGACUCCAGGCCUUGGGUUUUCCCCAUUGAAUGCAAUGUCAUCAUACAUAAAAACAAUAAUAUUUUCUUCUUUCAGACCACCUUUCCUCAAUAUUUGAUAGGCGUGACAAACAUCAGCCUGAUAGAGCAACAAAGACUUAACAUUAAAACUAAACAAUUAAAUACAUACAGAUAAUGGUGAAUUAAAUUAUUAAGGCGUCAAUCAUUUUCAAUUUAGUCAGAGAUAACUUUGUAAAUGAUUUUACGUAAAGAGACUAAAUUGCAAUCGUUUUCAUACGGGACAAAUUGAAAUUGAUUGAGUGUUGCGUAAUGGAUCAAUAAUAUAUUGGUUGAAUUACUCAUUUUAUUUUUAUAGUUUUACAAUUUGUUUUAGUCUUUAUAGUUUUAAAGUGGUUUUUUUAAUCUCUAUAGUUUACAUUUUAAUUCUUUUUUAGUUCCUAUAGUUUAAAAAUAAUCUUUUUAGUCAUAAUAGUUUGUAUUUUAAUUUUCUUUUAGUUCUUAUAGUUUAAAAAUGAUUUUUUUAGUUCUUAUAAUUUCUUUUAAUUAUAUUUUAGUCCUUAUUACAAAAAAAUAAUAAAAAUAAUUAGCUACAAAUUAGUUAUAAAUUAUCAACUAUUUUUUUAUUAUAAAUUAUCUUGUGAUAAAUUAAUUACGAAAUACUUGCUAAUAUUUUUGUAGUUAAUUGUAAUUGAUAAUGGUAAGGACUAAAAAGGAAUUAAAAUAUAAAAUAUAAGAAAUAAAAAGAUCAUUUUAAACUAUAUGAACUAAAAGAGAAUUAAAAUACAAACUAUAAAAACUAAAAAAAAUCACUUUCACACUACAAAGACUAAAAAAAAUUAAAAUAUAAACUAUAAAGACUAAAAAAAUCACUUUAAAAUUAUAAGGACUAAAAGAUACAAAUAAUAAAAUUAUAAGGAUCAAAUGAGUAAUUAAACCUAAUUAAACCUAAUUAGGAGUAUAAAAAUGCCACACUUUUUUCUUUUACUACACACGAUCUCUUAUUGAGUGAAAUUUAUCUGGAUCCCAUUGGUAGGUUUCAUUUCUAAGCUUGUGGGACCCCUAGGAAAAAUCAUGUUAGAAAUACUCAAUAAGAGAAUAUUUCAAACAGUCCUUUUUAGCAGUGUCUUACAGUUAGUUACUUCUAAUCACUGUCUUCAUAAAAAAACUACACCUAUGUCUCUUGUAGCUCCUUUACUAUGCAUAUGGACCUUCUAUUAAAAUAGGGUAGAUUUCUGUAACUUUUCAAAAACAAUAUAUGUCAACUAUAAGAAUAAUAGGAAUAUAUAAAGGGAGAUAGUUGCAAUUUUUUAAGAAGUGCACAAGUGUGUAAUUAUUCCUAUAUUUUAACUUAAAAUUAAAAGCCAACAGCUAAGGUUGGUAUUUUCCAAAAGAACUUCUAUGGUUAUAACAAUAAGUUAGCAAGAACCCAGAACAGGUUCUUAGCCCAACUGAAUCACUCAACAAAAAAAUGCUACGGUAUGCAUGUCUCACUUCUCUCCACCAUAUUUUCAUACACCAUCACCACAAGGAAGAGAUUACUUGAAAUCAUUAAAGCAAAUAAUAAUAAUAAUAAUAAUAAUAAUAAUAAUAAUAAUAAUAUAUUGUCAAUGUAAAUGCUGUCAAUUUAUAAGAUUUAUGAUUGGAUGAAAGUAUUUUAUACUGUUGGUGUAAAAACUAUUUUUUCUGACAAUAAAAAAAAACUUGAAAUCAUGAGAGAUUAUAGGUGUCAAUUUUAAGUUGAAUAUACUUAGAGUAAACCAGAUUUUCAUAUGAUUGAAAAUUGCUGUCGCUGUAAUAGUUAUUUGUGGUAAAGAACGUACUCACUGAAGAGUCCUAAUCUCGGUUAAGUUCUGUCGUGAUCAAAGAAAAUCACACCUAUUUAUAUGAUUUCUAGAAAUUAUUAUAUUAGCUAUUUAUUAGGUCCAAAUAUCAGAGGUCCACUUGUACUCAACAAGACAGUUCACAGUUUCUUGAAUAUCAAGCCUGACAGGUGUGGACGUUAAUUCAGUUGGAUGAUUCACAAUUGGAUGACUUUUUAUUUUAUUUUUAUUUGUUGGUGAAGAGUAUCUAUAAAUUUUAUUAAUAACUAUUUUCUGUCAAAUAAAUAUGAUUAACCAUUUUUAGUGGAAUCUCCCACACUUAUAUUUCUUUAAUCUAAAGAAAUUAAACCCGAGAAACUGAGAACUUACUUAAGAGAGAAGAAAAACAUAAAAAUUGAAGUGGCAUGCAUGUGUAUAAGAGAUGGACCUGAUGUCUGUAAUUCCAGUAACCAUUGGAACCGGCGAGGAGGACGGCCCACCGGGUGCCCUUGAAGUUGUCGUCGUUAUCAGUUUCGGAGGGCAGCCGGAGAAAGUCUCCGACGAGGUCACGGCGGCCGGAGACAGAGGUGGCGAAGGCUAUGAGAAGGAGGAGGAGCGUUGGAAGAAAAAAAGUGGGCAUUUUGGAAAGCAGUGAAGGAAACAGGAAGAGGCAAGUGGAUUUAAAUAGAGAAAGAUUCAUUGAGAUGAGAGGUUGGAGUGGCGUGUGGGGUGAGAAUUGAGAUGAGAAACGUUCUUUGGGAAGUUUCAUUGUAGGACCACUUUACCUUUUUCGCUGACGUUAUCGAUAGCGCUUCAUGUUCCUCCAUUCUCACUAUCUUAUUAUCAUCGUAAAUGGUUUAAAAAAAACUCAGCAAUAAUUUAUAAAUAAGAAUAUUGUCCCUAGAUUCUCUCUAUAGCCGUUUAGGAUUAGGAUCUGGCCUUAGAAUCAUAAAUCCAACAAAUGUGUGGAUCUCUUAUCCACAAACUAAAUAGGUGAAUUAUUUAGGUGUUAAUUAAAUCUCAUACUUUGUUUCAGCCACAACAAAUUUCAUGAGAUUCAUCAUUAUUAGAGAUAUUUUUCACAUCUUAUCAAAUAAGAAACAUCAUUAUGAUUUAUAGGAAAUAAUAUAAUAAGUAAAUAAUGAAAAUGCACAUCAAAGUUUUGUUCAUGAAAAGAUUCUACUUUAAUAUUUCUCUUCUUUGGACUGUGUUAGAAAAAUAUAAAUUAUCUAUUUUAUAUAUAUAAAUGAUGUAUAAAUAUAUUAAUAUUUAACUUAUUUUAAUAUGCAAAAAAACUUAUUUUAAAAAUUAAAAAGUUAUACAAUAUAUUUUAUAUUUGUCAACUAAUAUUUUAAAAACACUAAUUAACGCAAAAUAUUAUCAAAUAUUAAUUAUCAAUAAAAAAAAAGUUUUCAUUUUUUACUGAUUGUGAAAAAAUGAUUAUUUUUUAAAAAAAUAAAUAGCUAUAAUUACUUUUACAAUUUAUUCUGACUGGUACUUUUAUAAUUUAAUUUAAAUUGAAUUUAUUCUUUUCUCAGUUUAUCAUCAUCUAUCAUAAUAAAAACAAAAUUCGUAUUAUUUUCGUGCUAUUAGUUUCUACUUCGAUAGAUUUAAAGAAUUUAUUUUUUAUCUAAUAAUUGUGAGUAUGUGAUAAAAUUACAUUUAUAUCUAAUAAUUUUGUUUUAUUCUGGAAAGGAGGGAAUGGUAACCCCUCAGAUACUAUUAAAAAACUCUUGAGAGCAAAACAGAUCUAGCAUCAGCAAAUAAAGGCAUUACAAUGAAAGAAUUAACUACAUCAAAAAUUCUAUUUGUGUCAACAAAUAAAAUCAAAUUUGAUUAGACAUUAUUUUCAAUUCUCACAAAUAAAAAAAAUAAAAAAAGAUAAAACCAAAUUCGGCUAAAUGAUGGGCCACUUGGUUUGCCUCUCCAAGUGAAACAGUCCCUUGCAUAUUAAAAGCUGUGAUUCUCUUCACUAUGGAGUAAUAAACAUGAGCCUCCUCACUACUCUGAUGAUAUCUAAUAAUAUGUUAUUAACUUAUUUUAUAAAUUUGAUAUAUAAUUAAAGUUAGUAAACAAAGUAUGAAUAAAAUUAAAACUCUAACUGUCAUUUAACACUUGAUUAUCUUAAUUAAGGUCGGGAAUUUGAUUCUCAACUUAAAAUGAAAAUUACAAUUAAAAAUAUCAUUUUACCUAAAAACAGAUGGACCGAAUAGGAAAGAAAUUAGUUAGGUGUUAAAAAAACUAUAUUUUCAUAUCUGUAAUGUAUCAAUCAUAUUUCACAUUAUAAUAAAAAUUUAAGAAUACAUAACAAGUAUGUUAUUCUAUAAAAAAAAAAGUAUGUUAUUAAUUAAUAAUUGAUGAACGUAGCUUUCUCUUUUAAGAAUCGGGAAUUUAUAUUAAUGUAAAUAUGUAAUGUGUAUGUUUUGCCAAGUAGUGUUUAAUUUUAUAUCUUUUUAAUUGAUUAAAUUAUUUCUUGAUGAUAUUUUAAAUGAUUAUAUUAGGUCUAAGAUUCAAUUCGAUAAAACAAAAGAAAUAAAACACACCAAAAAUUAAAGUUGAACCAACUAAAAUGUGAGAAUUAAAAUUGUGGAAAAAAAUAAAGAGACUAAGAUUGCAAAUGAAAUUUUAUAAAUAAAAAAAAUUGCAAAUGAAGAACUAAAGAGGACUAAAAUUGCAAUUUAGUCAAAUAAAAACCACUAGUUUAUAUUAAUAUUGAAAAUAUUAAUAAUAAAAAAUCUAAUAUAAUUUCUUAGUUGAUGAUUUCAGAAAAAAAUCCUAUUUGAUAAUAUAAUAAAACUCUCCUUGAAAUGAAACUUUUGUGUAAAAAAAAUUAACAAUACUUAUUGAAAAAAAUGAUUAUGUAUUCACAGUAUAAAAUUUUUUAUAUAAUUAUCUAAUCAUAAUUUAUUAUAUAUAAUAAGUUUAUUCAUUUUUAAAAAAAUUAUCUUAAAAUAAUUUAACGAGUGAUUUGUAAUUUAGUAUGAAUGCAUACAUUAAAUAAUUCCUAUUUAUUUAAAAAUUAAAUCUUUUUUUUUUCAGAAGAAUUAAAUAUUUUCUAAUAAAUAUUUCUGCAUAUAGACGAACAUAGAUCCAUUAACCACAUAGUUAACUGCAUGAAUAGCAUUUGAUUCGCUCAGCAAUCAAGCAAAAGAUAGUCUACCAUUAGAGUGCUUCUAUAUCAUUGGCUGUUGCCUUCUGCAUUAUUGGCAUUUCAAUAGAUAUUUAUCUUUUCUAAUGGAAUAUGUUACAUUUAUUUUCAUUGUUUAUUUUGGAUGGGACUUUUGAAUCUGAAUCUGAAUCCGAAUCUGAAUCUUAAACUACGUAGACUGGUCCGCAACCGCAACCCGGAGAUAUUUUUAUAAACUAUUAUUAUCAUUAGCUGAAAAAUAUACAUUCCAUGUCUUGCAUCUUAAUUAGAUAAUAAAUAUUUAUGAUUGUGAGGGAUUUUUAAAAGUAAUUGAAGAAUAAAUUAAGAAUAAUAAAUAUAUACACCAAAUGAAAUAAUUAUUUUUUUGUUAUUAUUAUUGUUGACAUAAUGCUAACGUCAUGAAUUAUUAUUGAUAAUUUUCCUUCUCCAAAAUAUUACUUUUACGUAACCGGUACUAAUAAUAAUAAUAUUGGUCAUCGAUUACUUUAUUUCCCCUUAUCUUUUUUAUUUUAAUAAGAUUUUAAAAACUUAAUAAUUUCAUAAUUUUUAAAUCAGGGUUAAACUAUUUAGUAUUUAAAUUUUUCCGGAAAAAAUAAUUUUAUACGUUUGCUAUUCAUGUGAUUAAUAUUAUCUUUGAAUAUAUAUAUAUAUAUAUAUAUAUAUAUAUAUAUAUAUAUAUUAACUUUAAAUUUUUUUAUUUUGAAUAAAUAAUUAUUUUUGUUUUUAGAUGUGUAAUUUGAUAACAAUUUAGUCAUUAAAACAACAAAAAUUCUUAUUUUAAUAUUUAAAUACUUUUUAAUAUUAUGGUUAGUGUGGAAAAACUAGUCCAUGGUGGGAGAAUAGUUUAGAAAUGACAAUUAUUUUUAAUCAAUGAAUGACAUUUUUUGUUAUUAUCUUUCUAUAAUAUCUCUUUCUCCCUCGUUUUCCAACCCUUUUUCUAUAACGCCUAAUCAUGUAUCGCAAUCCUAAAGGACUAAUUGGAGAAAGGUACACUGGAUGAGGAAAGGAAAAAUGAAAGGUGGUGGCACUACAACACUUUUCCCAUCAAUGUCAAUGACAACAACUAUAUUGUAUAAGUGAAAGAAAACCUACAAACCUAAUGUCUUAAGGUUUUGGAUUGAAGUGUGGUAUCAAAUUCACUUGAGUGAUUUUCUCGUGGCUCGACAUCAUUGAAGAUCUCUUGAAGUUUUAUCCACUUUGAAUUCUUAACAAGUGAUAUCAAAAUUGAUGGUUUGAUUAACUAUCUGACUCAAAUGAGAAUAAUGGAAUUAGUGGUGGAUCCAACUAUGGGAAUUUCUUGUAUUGAAAGUCUUCCUAACAAUGAAUCCAAUUAUGAAAAAUCGAAAGUCUCCAUGACAAUGUGGAGGUCAAGUGACGUGUUCCAUUGGAUAACGACAAUGCAAGUACUUGGACUAUAUUCAUAACAAUGAAUGAGCUCAAGGGGCCUAACAAGCAGUGCAAAUAUUUAGAGCAUAUUAACAGUAAUAGGGCCACCAUUGAAUACUCAAAGGUGAAAAAAGGUUUUUUGUUAAGGGGGAGCAUAUCACGUUAAAAAAACUUACACUUGAAGGAGAUAUUGUUGUGGUAGAAAUUUGAAGAUAAAGUCUCACAUUGAGUAAGAAUGAACAAGUUGAAUAACUUAUGAGUGAGAAAGAUCCACGAACCUAAUGCCUUAAGGUUUUGGUUUGAAAUGUGGUGUCGAUUUCACUUGUAUGGUUUGUUCAUGAAUCAUAGGUGAAGAUCUCUCUGAGUUUUACCCCCUUUGAAUUCUCACCAAAAGGAAGGUCAAUGCCCCAACAUUUAUCUUCUUCCAUGAGAAAAAGAUAGUUUAUGAUAAAAUAAAGAAUACUCCAUUUGCACCUUGUCUACUUGAUUGAUAUAAUAUUUUCUCAUGGCCUACACUAAUAAAUGACUUAAGAAGGAAAAAUCCAAUUUAGUGUGUCGUAUAUCAAACAACCAAGGAUUACAACUAUAAGCCUAUUUGUUGUGAAACUCAAGGGGAUAAAUACCAGAGAGAUUUUUACCAAUGGACCAUGAGUAACCAUAUAAGUAAAUUUAACAUUAUACUUUAACCCAAAACUUUAAGGCUUAAGUUUAUGGGUCUUAUACUCACUUACAUGAUGUUCAAACUUCUCAUUCCUACCCGAUGUGAGACUUCACCUCACACUUGUAUUCUAACAUUAUUAAUGAUCAUAAGAAUUUUUCCUUCUGUCCUUAUCUUGUUUGUGUCAAUGAAAGGAAAAGAGAGAUGAAGAGAAUAUAGAAAAAAUAGUCACCACCUUAUGAAAUAUAUGACAAAUAAAGUUUUGAACUCAUUAAAGAAUACAAUUUAACAAUUUUUCAUGUUUAAUGGUAGCUCAGUUCAACAAAUAACACAUCAAUAAAAAUGUGAAACUUAUGACAAAUUAUCUCAUCCCUUAAGCAUGUGGUUAUAAGUUUGAUCUCUAGUUCGUGCAUAUAAAGAAAAAAAAUCUGUUGAAAGAGGUCAACUGCUUAAAUGAAUUUCAAUAUCUUGAGAGAUUAAUUAUUGACUUUUGAUCGAAAGAUACAUUGGUUCACACAUAAAAAAUAUUUAGACUUAGAAUGCAAAAAAAAAAAUGCAAAUGUUUAGUUGCAUCUCUACUAAUUUUCAUUCUUAUCCUAUUUCAUGUCCUUUUAAACCUUUUUCAUAUACUUACACUUUUAUUAUUGAAAAAAAUAUAUAUCUCCUUUCUUUAUUUUAUAUAUUAUAUUUAUACAUUAAUAUCUUUUAUUUAUUAAAUUUACAAAUUUAAUUAAUAAAACAACUAGGAAGGUACACAAGAAAUAGGUAUAUGUUUAAGAAUUUAAUUUAUCAAUUACAAAAUAUAUAUUUUAAAUGAAUUAUAAUAAAAGUUGAUAAUUUUUUAAUAUGACAAUUUAUAUUUUAAUCAGUGUAAAUUUUAAGUGUUUAAUUUAUAGUAAAAUAUUCUUACGCAAAUAUUCAAUAAGAAUUCAUCUUAUUACCAAUUUACCAUUAGUGAAAAGUAUGAUAAAAUAAUUAAAUUAUACUACCUUUUGUGUUAAAAGUUUAAUACUAACCGAAUAUAAAAUUAAAGUCAAAUCUUAAAUAUAUACUUUUUAAAAACUUAUUAGUGUUUUUUAUGCUUUGUGAAUAUAAAAUAAAUUAUACUCUUAAUUAACAUAAAAUGAAAUCAUCUGAUGGAGUACAAGUGUUUAAUAUGUUGAAGUUAAAAUUAAAUAAUUUUAGUAGUAUUUGAGUUUGAUCUUUAACAUAAAUAAUUUUUUAUUAAACUCAAUUUACCUCUCAACUUUGGAUAAUAAACUAAAAUUAUUUAUUUAAAAAAUAGAGAAACUAAUGUCUUGAUUUAGAAAUAAAAGAAACAAAAUUACCAUUCAACCUUUUAAAAUACACCAUUCUUUAUAGUAUAUUUUUCAUUUAAUAAUUUAAGGAAACAUAUUGAAUUAGGAUAAUAUGAGUCUCUUUUUCUUAAAGAAUCAUAAAGUUAAAACCAAAAAAAUAAUACACAAAAUGAGUUAGAAUUGAAAAACUAUUUUCUGGUUUUAUUUUUUAACAUUAUAAUUAUUAAAACUAAUUAAUGGUAACGCAGUCAAAAGUUAUUCCAUACUUAGAAUUUCUUAAUCAUGAUAUUCAAUCCGGAUAUGGGCAUGGAGUGAUAUGUGAAAGUAUUUUUUUAUCCCCAAAAAAUAAGCCAAUUUGAUAAGAGGGAAAUUACACUUUUGGGUUAUACUAAUAAAAUAAAAAUUAAAGAUAAAGCAUUAAGAUGUGCGUAAUUACCCUAAACUUGAAGUUAAGUCGGCGAUAUCAACACAGAGCGGCAUGAAUUGAACUGAAACAGAGAUAUCCUAUAAAACAGAGAGACAGGGCUAGCUAGGUACAGAAUACUGGUAGAUAAACAUAAAAACAAAACCUUUUAUUUCAUCGUUUUGCGUUUUGCGUGAAGAUUAUUAGAGUUGUUGGGUGCGCUUGAUAUGGAGAAUGGGGAGAACAUUCUCGAUGCCAUCUUCCAAGACGAAAACUUGGAGGACGAUGUUGAGAUGAUUGACGUUGAAGAAGGGGAAUUGGUUGAGCUGAACGAUUCCCAAAACGGCGUCGUAGAGGCGGAUAACAAAAAACCGCACAGUAAGAAGCGCAGGCGCAGAGGUAACAAGAGAAAUAAGAAGAAGAAUUCAGGAACAACCGGUGCCAUUGACAUUGACAGGUUUUAGUUUUCAACUCUCUUCCUUAUUUCAAACCGUUUUUAUUUUUAUUUUGUUUUUUAUUGUUUAUCGUCUAGGCCUAGGGAGACAGAAAAUAAAAACCAAGAGUUGCGUUACGUUCACGAGACUACUUCAGUUACCUGACGCUUCUUUUAUUUUUUUUUAUCCCGUUUGUGUGCAAGAAUGGCUUUAAAAGAGUUCUCUGUGGUUGAAAACGAUGUUUUGAAAGUGAGUUUCAAGAAGUUGGUUUUGGUUGAACAAUUAACAUUUGCCGAUAAAAAAAAUGAGUCUAGUCCCUGAAAAUGUAUUUUUAUUUUUCUUUUUAUCUUAUAAGGGUCCUGUGAAAACCAUGAUUGUGACUUAUGUUCAAAUUGCAAGGUUAUGAGCAUGAGAUAGGGGAUAUAGGCAAGUUGAUGUAAAAUUUUAAAAGUAUAUGUAUACAGGAAAUGGAAUUUUAUAUAACCAUGAUUAGAUUGUAUAAAUGACACAAAUAGUUAGAUUUCAACGCAAUGGAUUCAAGUUAGGAUAUUACAGCACCAUACACGACCAACCAUUCCUUUGGGCUUUGGUUUCAAGUUAUAUAUACUUAUCUUGUAAGGAAUCAAAUUAUCAAAGCUUUAUUUUCCAACAUUUGACUUAGGAGUAUCUACGAGUAACCAACAACAUAAAUACAGGUACCUACUCAGUACAGUAUUUGUACAGUUCGACUUUAAGAGUACUUGAGCUAUGCCGUGGGUAAAAUUGACCAGAAUUGAUGUAGGAUUAAGAGAAAAUAAUUCGCCUUUUCAAAAAUGUAAAAUUGAUUCAAGAUAUACAACCCACAGUUUUUAAAAGUAUACUUAUGUAUAUGCUUGAAAAAUAGUUCUGCCUUAUUAUCCAAACAGAAACCAAUUAUUCUAAACUCACUUUUAAAUUUCAUUUCUAACCACAAAUCAAUUUUUUCAACACAUUCUUUAGACAUCAAUCUUACUGAAGUUUAAACCAAACAGACCCAAAAUUAACCAAACACAUGAUUACUAUGCACUAGCCAUUUUCUCAUGGCUAAAGUGAUUCUUUCGUGGAAUCACAUCCCCCCGGUUUCUCUACAACAGUUGCACCUACAGCUAGGAGAGAAAAAAAAAAGGGUCCAAGUGGGACCCACCUGAUUAAUGGGUCUAACCUAUAUUUUUUUUCUCUUCUUGCUAUAUGGUAUACUGGCUAAAGAGGAUCCACGUCCAUCAUGAAUUGAAGCAUAGCCCAUUGCUCUUAUCUUAUCCAUGUAAAAUAGUGAAUGGCCUUAUAGCCCAGUGCAUGAGGCUCCCAUCUAAUGGGGAAAGAGAAAGGUUGAUGUACGCAACCUUUAAAAGUUGGAGGUUGUUUUCAGGAUUUAAACUAUGAUCUCCUGGUCACAAGACAGCUGAAACCUUAUCGUCCUUAAUCCUUAUCUUCAAAAAAUACCCAAAUGAAUAUUAUAAUUUCUAAUGAAUUUAGUUCCCUUUUCAGGUUUGUGAUAAAUACAUGUCGGCGUCUGAAAGAGAAAAAGUCAUACAUGGUGUAUACAGCUGUUGCUUGCCUUGGAGUUUGUGCAUUGAGUGAUCUCAUCAAUGAGGUAUUCGAACCCUAUCAUGCAUUGCAAUGUUGUUUUCAUGUUGAAAGCUUUUUUUCUUUAUACUUAGUCUAUACAGCUUUCAAUGAAAUAUCAUGGUCGUUUGGAGGUUGGAAAACAAUUUAUGAACAGCUAAUGCUAUUUUGGUAUUGGAAUGUACUGACUUGACUGACUUCUGAAAUGUUUUCUGUUCACCUUCUUGCACUAAUUUAAUAAUUCCAAAUUUUCUGUUCUUCUAAUUGUAUUUCUUGCUAUUUGCUAAUAAUGAUUGGAUAUGGUGAUUUGAAUUUGGUGGAUUACACUUUGCCAGUGACUUAUGGUUCUCAGGGCCGGUCCAUUAUGACUUUUAAAGCUGAAGCUUUAGGCCCACCAAUAAAAAAUUAUUUUCUUUUAGUUUUAAUAAAGCAAAAAAUGCCACAUAUGCUGGCAAAAAGUUCCAACAUAGAGUUCUCUCAUUUAAGGUAAAACAUUUAUUUUCAAAGUUUGUUUUAGGUUUCUCUCAUCAUUGGGCUGGCCAUAAUGGUUCUCUACAUCACCAAUACUGCUAUUGAUACAUUUAUGGAUAUUCAUAUUCUUGGCUUGUCACCGGCUCUCUAGCCUCUCGUUGUUUCUCUCCUGCAGGACUGUGCAUUGCACUUUUUAGAAAUAAAUUGUUCCUUUUUUUUUUGUUUCCUUUUAAUAUCUUCCUAACUCAAACAGAGAUGUGGCUUUUGCUUGUCUGUUGUAAGGAAAGGUGAGAGUUGAGAUUCUACUUGAUUUGGAUCAGCCUUGAGCUGAUUAUGCUUAUCCACUCCUCAUAGCGCCAUACAACCAUUCAUAAUUCUGAUGCGUACAAUGUUGUAUCUAACAUUGCAGAUUUUACAGAGAUCAUUUCAAUCUCCUGUCUGAGCUUUGAUGUUCCUGGCUGAUGAACCACUUCAAUUAUUUAAUUAUUUUGAAGGUCGACAUCUAUUUCUUCUCUUUAUCUUGCUCUCCUAAAUGGAGCAGCUGACAAAGUCAGAGCCAAAAUUGGAUCUCUCUAGAUAUGCAUAAUAUUAUUUUAUUGAGGGCUGUCUAAAUUUCAUAUGGCAGGAUCUUUAAAGAUAAUAUUUUUGGUUAUGAACAUGCUAGGCAGCAUCAAGCAUUUUUCUUAUGACCAGGAUGGCCAGCAUUUUGUUUAGUGUGAGGGAUUACCCUAAUAAAUGCAGGAGAAUCACACUGAACUGAAGGUUGUAUUUAACUGAGCACAUAACUCAUAGCUUCUCUCCAGGAUCUCUGCAUUCGUUUGCUUAAAUUUUGGAAUAUUUUGGGUCAUGAACAUAUUAGCUCUUUGUUUCUACUGUUUUCAUUUUGAUUUAAUGAAUUUAAGAUUAUUUGCAGCUUAUACCAUGAAUCACAGUGGAUGAUGUACAUUAUUUCUGUAUUAUUUAUAAAUGAGAUAUUGCUGACUAGAACCUCAUAAUGAAUGGGCUUGUUUUUGUAUUUUUAAUUGUUUUUGGUAUUCUUUUCCCAUCUGUCCAAUUUGAUACACGUCAUAAACUUCAAUAAUCGAGUGUGAAAGUCACAGGUGGAGGCUAUACAGGCUUGUGGAGGCCAGAUGACUGUUGAUGGUAGGCGAUUUCGAACAGGGGGUGGUGUAUUGUGGAGUAUCAUUAAGGUUCGCGAACCAAAUGCUUACAAAGAGAUAAUAAAGAAAGCAAAGGAGUUUGAGGUGUGGGAUUGACCUUUCUGUUUUUUUAGUGUUUUAACACAUCUCUUUCUGUAUUUAUGUUCCUUGUAUUCAAUGGAAACAGUUAAGUUUGUUAUGGAUGCACCUACUGUCUAGAACUUGAGCAAGGGGCAAGAAAUUGUUAUUUAUGAUCCUAUGAUGAAGGUGGAUAUUGGAGAAGGGAUGGGUAAAAUAGAUAGUGAAGUGAAUCUAGUCAUGUACAAGGAAAGGGAUAUUCAAAACUGCAUUAAACUCUAUUUGGUGGGAGGAGAGAGAAGGUGAGAAGCAGGAUGGAGUUUUGGUUAGAGGGGACUGAUUAAAAAGUGAAGGGAAAAGGGAGGAUAGUAAGGAAGAAUUCAGUGAGUUUGGAUAGCAGACACACGAAAUGUUACUCUUUCUUUUCUUUCUUUUUCAGUUCAUAUAGUGAGAGUUGUGUAUAAAUAUAGGUCUUCCCCUAACCAAGGUCAUUCAUAUCAUCAUUUGCUUCUUAUUAAUUAGUUUCUCGUUUAUAAUAAUGCAGAAGCAAUUCAGGCAGCCAAAUGUGAAGCAGCCACCUGUGCAAAAGAAAGAGGAUUCUUUUCAAGGGGAUGACACCUCUACAUUUGCUAGCGGUCAUCAGGGCACUGUUUCUGACAAAUCCUUUUCUGCAUUGCAAAUGCAAGAUCGACAACAUAAACCAUCAGGUUCUGAAGAGAAACGUAACUCUGUUCAUGACAGAUUAAGGAUACAUGUUUCUUAUGAUGAUGAUCUGCUUGGAUUAAGUGCAGAUAAUGACACAGCCUGACCCUGGAUGAAAAGAAACCUUCAUCCUGUCACAGUUUUAUUUUUCUUUCAUCAUAGAUUGCAGUCUGCUGAUGCAACUAAUCCUCAUUCUCCCUUUUUCACAUUUUACAUUACAACCUUCUGUCUUCUGUUCUAUCUUUUUGCUCUUUCACCCUUGUUUCUUUUUUCUGUGAAAUAAGUUCACAGAUGGGGCAGUAUUUUCUAUUUGGAUUUUGUUAGGAAGGAUUUUGUCAUGUGUUGAAAGGAGAGGGUAUUUACUAUUGCAUAAGCUUUCUGAUACACUUAAAUGAUAAUAGAAAAUAUUAUAAUGGAAGUUUGUGUUAACUCAUUGGUAAGUGUAAUAAAUUAUCUUAAGUAGCAAAGUAAAAUGGAAGUCCAAGUGUCGAAUUCACAAGAAUUUUAUUUGUAUUUAAAUUAGUGCAAAUCCAAUUUUUAAACAAUUAGAAGAGAUAAAAAAUUGUAAAUAUGAGUAAAAGAUAAGAAAAAAAAAUAAUAAUUUGAAUUCAAAAGAUGAAUUUAGAAUGCAGAUGUGUUGGGUUUUAACAUACUAAAAUUACUUCUGAUGCAGUGUGUUAACAAUUUUUCUGUAUCUAAUGUUAUCUCAAUUUUCACUCACAUUUAUUAUGAUAUUCUAUCUUUAGUUUUGCAUGAAGAGUCUAAUUUAUUUAUUUUUCUCCUUUAAAUUUAUGUGCAAUGAUAAAAAUAAUAAAUUGUAUUAAGAUUAAAGGUGCAUAAAAUAAGCUAAAUAAAUAUCAUUCCAUUCUUAACAAUGAUCUUAUUUAGAUGUCCUUAGUUUUUAGAAAAUAAAAUAAUUAUUUUUCAAUGCAUUAUCUCAUAAAUAAUAUAUGAGCAUGAGUGAUCAGACCAUAAUUAAUAAAUAAUAAAACAUAUAAAAGAAUAAUAAAAACUAGACUGCAUUAAAUAGAUAAUAGAGAAGAAUUAUAUUACAAGAGGUUUGCCUGUCAGGCUUUCAAUAAUGGAGAGGUUUAGUCUUUCAUAGUUAUGAGAGACUUCACACUUUAGGGUUGAUGUGGAUAGAAAAAGAGGGAUGGAUAAAGGAAGGGAAGAGGGGAAUGGUUAUAGAAUGUAGCUUAAAAUUCAUGCGAUCUCGCACUAAGCAGGUCUUCUAGGUUUAACGAGUAUGGCGGCUAAGUGAGAUGUUGCCGUUGGGUCUGUCUUGUGCACUAAGUGAGUUGUUUUAAUUUUCAAUUUUUUUUCAAGAUCCUUCUUCAUGUUUUUACAUCAAUUUUUUUUCUAUAACACUUGUAAUUUUCUUCUUUUCAAUCCUGUUGAUUAAAAAUUAAAAUGAUAUUAAAAUUCUCAUUAUUUCAUUAAAAAAGUAACACGAAAAAUGGAGUAAUUCUAAUCAUUCUUAAUAAAAAAUGACUAUCAAUUAAACACAAUUUUUACCAUUAUUAGUUAUAUUGUUGGUUGAAAGUGUCUGGUUAGUAUCUUAUGAAGAGAUGCUUAAGUUUCUUACGGAGUAUGAAUCGGGAAUUCUUUCUUUCUAGCUGAACCCUCCCAUAGUUUAACUUAAAAGUAAGAACUUAAGAUUACAGAAGGGAUGUGGGAGUCUUUGAUCAUGCCCAAUACUUUUUAAUGGAGUUAAAUAAGUGUAGCUUCUGAAAGAUAAAAUCAUCAUUUAAGUCCUCAAAAUAUGUACUAUACUGUCAAAUUUAUCCUUCAGUUAAAAGUGUUGUGAUUGUGAACUAAUUUGACGGAUGAAAUGCAUUUUGUAUGGUAAUUAUUUUUUAGUGAUUAAUGUGAUUGGGAUUGUGUAUGUGUUUGGAUUCAUAUUAGAUUGUCUAAAAUGAUAUUGAAAUAGCGAUGAAGUUAAUAUGACUUUAGGUGAAUAUUCAAAUUUUUUUCUUGUUAAGUUGAUUUCGAAUCUAAAAUUGGUGUUGAACUAAAGCAAACUCUUGCAUUUGAUUAAAAAAAUUAUACAUUUAGAAUUUCCUUUAAAAUAAGAACAUCUAAAACAUAAAUUUUAAAUAAAAUAAAUUGUAUUAUGAAAUCGCCCACUAAAACACACUCUAUAUCUCAAUGAUUAAUUGUUGCUCUUUCUCAAUUUUUUGCCCCGUGUUACCUAGGCCUAAAUAUGGUUUUGUCUCGGUAAAUUAAUAUCUUUUUUAUUCUUUAUAAGUUUGUAUUUCGUUUUUAAUUUUGAUUCUUAUAAGAUAUUUAAUUUAAUUUUAGUCCCUAUAAAUUUUUGUUUUUAAAAUUUUACUUUCUUUAAUGAUUUUUUGUUUUUAAAAUUUUAGUUUCUUUGAUGAUAAAUUUAUGAAAAUUAUAAAUGAAAAAGUUAGAAUACUAAAGGAAUUAAAAUUGAAAAAAAUAUAAACUUACAUAAAUUAAAAAAUAAACAAAAAAAUUUAUAAGAAUCAAAAUUAAAAACCAUCAACUUACGGAACUAAAAUUAGAAAACUAAACUUACAAUAAUAAUAAUAAUAAUAAUUAACUCACAGAAAUAAAAAAAAAAAAAAAACAAAUUUAAGCCUCACCAUAAUUGUGGCCGUUUUACAAUGCAUUGAAGCUACUAGCAAGGCUUUAUGUCUAGAAUAUCAAUCAGUUAAGGGGCAUUUAAGUUAGUUUUCUCAUGCCCCAAGUUGUGAUUUCUUGUGCAGGAUGAGGCAAACCACAGUGCAGUCAUCUGCCAUAUAGGAAGGAUACUUCUCGUUCCAUGCAGCAGUGGCUGCUUCCACUACUGCCUCUUCACUGUCUACACCCCACACAAUUGAUGCAACCUCAUUGUUGCUUAGUACAUCCCACACCUAUUUACAGGAAAAGAACAAAAAAGUUUAGAAAAAAAUGCUUGUGCAAAAAGGAUACUUCAUUAAUCAAUUUCACACAGAUAAUUUUUUCUUACAAAAAAUAUACUUGGUGCUAGUAGUUUAGACAGGUGUACAACGUUAGUUUUCUUCUUGAAAUUAGUAUAGAACAUAAUUUAGGAAUAAUAAGUUGGUAUAUACCAUAUAGCUCAUUACUGUGGCUUCUGUCGCAAGUAAUUUAAGAACCUUGCUGAGUGAUAGUAGCCAAAGUUAAGAAUUAAAUUAUUUUUUUUUAAUGUUAAGAACCGUGCUGACUGAUAGUAGCCAAAGUUAAUUUUAUUUUAUAAAAAAUAUCAAAGAGCAUGUUAACUAACUAGUUUUUUUUUAAUAUAAACCACAAAUAUUUUUUAAAAGAGACAAUUUUGUCCGAGUCAAAUAAGAUGAAAAGCUUUUACUUCAAGUAUUUAUAGUAGUUGCAUUUUUUCAAAACUUGAGCUAGAGAGUUGCGAUGACUACUUAUUAAGUUAAAACAAUCUUCUAUUAAUUCAUCCACAGUCCACACACUAUAUCAACUAGUUAGUGAUGCCAAAUUUUCUACCAAAUUGAUCUUUUAGAGGUUUAGACCUCAAGAAAAGUGAUGUCCUGAAAAAAGAAACUGCAUAAUAAGAAGAUUCUUACGAGGUAAUUCCGGCUUCAAAUCUGUGGUCAAUUGAAUGGCCAUGAGUUUUUUCAUCACAGAUUGUUCCCAAUACUGCUCUUGAGUCACCCAGAUUAGCAAUGACAAGACCUUCACCCUAUGUAUUGUUAUUGUUACAUUAUGUUCUUUUUCCCUAUAUUGAACAUGAAAACUAUGGGAAGGUCCAUUUACCUGUGUUUUAUGAUAACUACAGCAGUGGUUCCACUGCUAGAGCAAUCUAAAUUCUUUUGAAGCUUCACCUCCUUGUCCAUCACCUUGAAAGCACUUAAAAUUGCUUCUUUCCAUUUCUUGCAGCCGAUUCCUCUUUUACUGUGUCAACAUGGUUUUUUGUGGUGUACUAACCAUUCUCUAUUGCAUCAAUCUUUUCAAGAACAUUCUUUUGGUCCAGUAUGAGGGAAGAUAAACGACUGCUUACUAUUUUGCUCACUUUGUGUCCAUUCCCUCCAUGCUCAUCAUAAACUCCAAAAAAUGUUCCAUCUUCCAUCCCAUAACCCUUUUGGGAAAAAAAAGGAAAAGAAAAGAAAAAAAAAAGGGAUGUUCCAUUGAUUUUAUGUGCUCCACAAAUCUUAAUUAGUUACAGAAGAAUGACUAAUAAAACAAACAAUAAUGUGUUUGAAUUUCAUUUAGAAUGUGCGUUAGUUUUUCUGUCAUUCAGUCAUGAUUUAUUACAUAAGACUGUUGAAUUUUGUUAUAAUUGUUUUAAAAAUCAUAUAUCAUUCUUGCAUAAGAUAUGCUAAGUGGGAUUGACUCAUCUAGUUGAGUCUUCUGCUCACACUAAUUGUAAUUUGAUUUGAUUACCAGAUUUUCUCUAUUACUAAACAAAUAAACUCCACUAUAAAUAUUUGCUUAAGUUCGUGGUCUUUCCUAACCUUAUAAGGGGAUGUGUCUUUCUCUAAUAUAAAUUUUAUGCUCCUUUUAUUCAACAUAAAAAAAAUUACACAAGAGUUGUUCCUUGCCAAUACUUGUGAGAUGCCUAAAUGCCAAGAAAUGAAAAAUAGGUGAAAAAUAAAAACAAUUACAAAAAAAAUAUUGUGAAUUAUUUCAUGUGCAAGUAAUGAAACUGUAAGGCAAACCUCGUGAACAGAGGCAGCAUCUUGGUUGAGUCCUUUGCUACCCUGUUGGGAGUAAACAGAGCAAAGUCUCUGACUCUCAUUCGGGACCUUUCUUGCUUGAAAUAUUGUCACAUUAUCAUCGUUAACUCCUUCUGCAACGGAUAUGCAUAUACCCAUUAUUCCACUUGUUCUGCAAUUUUAUUGUUAGAGUGAAAUUAAUCCACCCAAAUAUAUAUAUCAAAUAGUUUGUAAUAAUAAAAUAUAUAAAGAUGCAAGUGUGGCUACCAGUGUCGUAAAGUAUACUUAAAUACAAUUUGACUUUUUAUCAAUGGUUAGUUGUUGAAUUAGGCUGUCCCAAUACUCGCCUUAAGGGCCGUUUUUAGUAUAUAUCUAUUAUUAUUUUAAACCAUGUUAUUAUUUUAUAAUAAUACUGAUGUUAAUAUUUUAAACCAUGCUAUAUUAUCAUUCAUAUAUAAUUGUGACAUAAAUAUUGUUGUAUGAUCCUAUGAGUAGAGCCUAAUACAAUAUAUAUAGUUAGUGACAUGAAUAGAAAGAUUCAUAGUGUCUGAUUCAUGCACGAACAUUGUUGUAACAAUAAGUCAUUAUCAUAUUAUUGGGAUGAAAGAUUUAUUGUUAAAAAUAAUAAUUAAUUUCCAUUGAAGACCAUAAGCCUAUACAAAAUAAAUAUUUUUUUAACAUAUUUUGUUCUAUAUUCAAAAUCAGAAUUUGAACUCUUGAAAACUUAGAUUAAAAACAUAAACGGUCAACCGUUGUCGGUUAUAAGCAACUUAGAGUGCGUCAAAAGCAGUAAAAAAAUAGCCUCGUAUAAAAAAAAACCACGAACAGUUGGCCACAAAACAAAAAGAAAGUUAGGAUCGUCGUCUCCACUGAAAAAAAAAAUAAUAUGAUAUUCACAAUUUCAACGAUAAAUCUUUCUGAGGAAUUUUUUUUCUUCUGGAUAUUCUAAAGAAUUUGUAUCACCGCCCAAGGCAUUGGAUAAUGGGUUUUUUGAAUUGGAUUGUUGAUUUUUUUUUUCCUAAGUGUAUAUAUUUUAUUUGUGUGGCCUUGUUAACAAGCUUGCAUACAUAUGAGAUCAGGUCAUCUGUCUAGUAAAAUAUAUUAAAGACUAAUCAACACUUUAAGUCAAAAAUUAAUUAAGCUUUUAUAUAUACACAAUUAAUUAAAACUUUUCUAUAAUUCUUAAAUAAUUUAAACAAUUCUUAUUGUUUAAUUAGGUUUUUUUCUCAUUUAUAUUAACAUAUUGAGAAUAUAAUAUUAACUAUUUUGCACAAUUUAAAAAUUAUAAAGGCAUGUAUAAAAGAUUUUGAAUGGAAAUAUUAAAUUAAAUUUUGAGCCAAAUUAUCGAAUCAAAUGAAUAAUAUAACUAAGAAUAAAAUAGCAUUUUGAAAGCUGAAAACUAACUUUACAGGUUACUUAAUCACAUUGUGUCUCUCCCCCACAGAUUCAAGAAUUUAUUUAAUUUAAAACUAGAAAGACCGAUUCUCGAAAUGCAUAUAAAAAAGCUUUUAGGGAUGGAAUUCCGUACCUAUACAAAAUAUAAAAAUCAACAACACAUUUUUAUUUAUUUGAAAGUGAAGAACACAAUAUCCAUUACUCCUUUUCUUUCUUUAAUAUGUAAUAUAAAAAAAUUAAGCUGCCACACUCAAAGUUGAUUGAUGUGAUGGAUAAAUGUGGCUUAAUAUUUAGAAUCUUUAAUCUUCUUAUAGCAUCUCUAAUAAAAAAAUUUACUUAAAAGAUCUUAAAUUAUUAUUUUUAGAUCUCACCUGUCAGGUCAAUUUUUAAGAAUUCUUCUUCUAAUUUUUUACUUUAACAGUGAUACCAGUAAGAACUUCAAUUGAAUUUCACAUGUUUCAAAUUUUAUAUUUAUAUGUUUUUGCUUUAAAAUAAUAAUUCAUUUGUAUUUUCACAUUUAAUUAAUAAAUAUACUAAAAAUAUAUAUUCUUAAAGUAUAAUUAGUUUCUCCAAGUUCUACAUUGGUGGAAAUUGAAUAGACCGAAAUCGGUUGGUGAUUCGAGCUCUACAUUAGUGAAAGUACAAUUAGUUUCUCCAGGUUUUACAUGAGUGAAAAUUGAGUAAAUAUGAAGUUGGUUAGUGAUUCGAGCUCUACAUUAGUAGGUUUUACUCCACUAGUAUCCAUUGUAAACCUAUAACAAGGUGGUCCUACAUCGAAAUCAAUUGAGGAUUUUGAAGAUUUUCAAAGGAAGAAGGUGAAUAAUUUUGCAUAAAAUUGUAUGUGAAAUUACUUGAUGGUGGUUGAAACAUAGGAAAAUAAGGUUGGUUUUUGAGAAUUUUGACCGACCGAAGAUUGUUCUGUAACUCUGAUCAGCAAAGCAAUUGACUAGCGAAUAGAUUGUGCAAGUUAUGAACAAAUGACGCAUAAUUUUAUGGCAUUUUGUUGUUCAAUGAGUGCAAUGGUAAAAUUCAACUUCUGAUGCAUUGUACAUAGUAGGAAAUGGUAUUAUUCCAUCUACAAACAAUAGCAAACUGUAAAAAAAAUAAAACUUCUAAACAAAGGUCAUUUCAUAGUCUUUUCAAUUUUUUUGUUUUAAAAAAACAAAAAAUUCAAUCUCUUCAUUUUUAUAUCCCGUAAAAAAAUAUAUUGAUUUUUCACUCACACAACAAUGUUCCUUUCUUUAAAAAAAAAGAAUUAAUAUCAAUUUUGGUUUAUUAAAUUUUAUUUUUACUUCAUUUUGAUACAUUAAAUUUUAAACAUUAUAUUUUCAUUAAAUUUUAAAAUUAUUAAUUUAAAUAAUGACAGCUAAAGCUAAAAAUCGUCACUAUGUAUUUUUAAUAAAAAAAUAAAAAAGGAAAACAAGUAAAGAUUAGUGUUAAAAAUCAUUUCUUUUUCCUGUUCUUGCUUCAAAUUGUUGCAAAGCCCGGGUGCAAAGGCAACAAACAAGCAAAGGUAGGGAGAGAGAGAGAGGUGGCAUCGUUGUUGUACCAUAACAGUUGCAAAGAAAAAAAGAAAGCACUGGCUAGCUUGAGAAUGGAAAAUAAUAAAAGAAAAGCAGAUAUAGUAUUAGAUAACAACUAUUAAUUGUAUGAUGAUAAUUGAUAUCCCACAACAUGUAAGCCUCUUCCCUAUUUUAAUUUCACAAGCAUCACUAGUAUCUCAUCCUAUUGAGCUGAUUGAGUGCAGGCUGCAAGAUGUUGUACAGUGUCCAAGUACCUCAUUACAUCUUUUAAAACAUAAUGUAUCAAAAUAAUGAAACAACCGUACAACUUAAUAAACCAAAUAUAACCUUAAAAAAACAAAACCACCCCAUUUUGGAUUCCCAAAGAUCGCAUGGGGCUGAUGAUGAUGUGCAACACUCCCUUCCCAGAAGCUUGUUUGGUUCGUGAAGAGAGAGGUAAAGUGGAUCCGUGAAAGAAGAAGCAAGCAUUGAUUUUUCAGUUUUGCUUGUUUAGUUGGGAUUAAUUUCUGAGUUUUGAUUUUGGGUUUUUAAUCAUUCAUUUUGAGAUUUCAUUGUGGGUUGCAUUGAUUGUUUGGUUGGGACUAAAUUAUUAAUUGAUUCUGAUUUUUAAUUUUGGGGUUUUUAAUCAUUGAUUUUUACUUCUGACUGUUUAUAUGAUAUGUUGAUUCUGCUCUUUGUAUGAUUUGGGUUUUUUUUCCCUGAUCGAAAGCAACCAUUUUCUCCCUCCUUUUUCUAUUACUUUUAUGGGUAUAUAUCUAUAUAUAUAUAUAUAUAUAUAUAUAUAUAUAUAUAUAUAUAUAUAUAUAUAUAUAUAUAUAUAGGGUUGCUAACGUUGACCUUAGUUGGAAUGUAUGAGCUUCUAACACAAAAAUAUUUAAGAAUUAAAGGUUAUAAAAAUAACCUCUUUAUUUAGAUAAGAUUAAAAAAAAACAUCAAUUUAGAGUAUCCUCUCGUGAAUCAGUAAAUUUGAAUUAAAGAGGAUAUUUACAAGCAAAAUCAUUAAUUAAAUAAUUUAAUUGUCUUUUAUUUAAUUUCCAGCAUCAUAUAACCGAUCACAUAUUACAAAAAUAAGUUUCAUUCCUUUUAAAAGAUUGAUUUUAAAUAUUUUAUUAUUUAGAGUAUGUUUAGAUGGAGAAAUUUAAUAGGAUAAUUCAAUUUUUUUUAAAAAAAAUUAAUUACUUUUCAAUUAAAUAAGGUGUUUGGAUAAAAAAAAUUGAAAAGAAGAUAAAAUUUCAGUAUUUUAUUCAGGUAUUUUAAUUAACUUAAAUAUUAGGAUUUCAAAUUCUUUUAAAAAUUAAAGAAUUUGAAAUUAUUUUGUGAACUUAGGAUGACAUGUUCUCCUUCCUCCAACAAUUUCUCACUCUUCUUUCUCUCAACGUGUUUUCUUCCUCAUUUCACUCUCGGAUCUCUCUCUGCGCUCAAUCUCUCUCUUGCAACAACACUCAAUCUCAAUGUGUUCUUAUCUGAAACACAACUUUUUUGUCUCUGGUUAGUCUCUCUCAUCUAAGUAUUAUAGGGUUUUUUCUUGUUCAUCUUUAUUUCAAUCCUGUUUUUACUAUUUGAUCAUUAAUUUGCAUUUCGUGUCUAUAAUCUAGGGUUUGUAGGUUGUAUUUCUACCAAACUAUGUUGGAUUUGGCUAUAAGAUAUGAUGUUGUUCUUUGCAUGUUGUUGUAGUGACCUUAAGGCAUAGUUUCAUCUGCAUACACCUAAGGUCUUUCAAGGCCUCCACUGUGCCUAUGCUUGAUGCCACUAUCCAAGCUUUGGUUGAUGCACUCAUGGUGUAUGAGAGAGAGAGAUUAGGAAUCAAGAAAGGUCCAAUAAUUUUUGAAGAAGAGCUUAUUUGUCUUAAAAGAUUAAAAAAAAUCAUAAUAAAAACAAAGUUCUAAAGCAAUUGAUAAUGGAAGAUGGAUCAUAGAUUACCUCUUGUCUCAUCAUUCACAGUUUCAUAGGAGGAGCCUAUAAAAAUUCUUAAGGGGUUUCUAGACCAUGAAUGAUAGGAAACAACAGGAUCUUGAACCUAUGGUUCUCACAAAUAAUCAAUAAACGACAAUAGAUAAUGAUGUGUACCUUUCUCCAUAGGAAGACUUGUACCUUUCUCCAUAGGAACUUCUCUCCAGUGCACUUUGAUUUCCUUGAAAGAGGAGAGAAAUAAGAUUUCACUUCCUUAGGCCUUUCUUUUCUGCCUCUCUCCGUUCGUGAUGACUAUGGGUGAGAGAGAACACUUUCUAAUCAGGAAGGGGACCUUAUUUCACGUUAGUGGGUAUUAACCCCCUUUUAUAACCAUUACUCCCAUCAAGUAGCAGUUAGCUCUAGAAACUUCUCCUAUUAAGCCCAAUUACAAUUUAGCCCUUAAUCGUUAAUUAUUUACUUAUUAGUCCUUACAUAAGUCACAUGUCUCUCACAUGAGACAUUAAUUCUUACAUUCUCCCACUUGGCUCAUGUGACAUUAAUAAACAUUAUGGAUUAAAUAAAUAAAUAGAUUAACUAACAUAAUGCGCAUUAAAAAUGACUAAAUUGUUCUGUACAUUGGGUACAUCAUAAUUUCAUGAUCAAGAAUAUGAACCAAUUCGAGUCAUGACGGUUGUACAUCAUCUAAUCGACAUAGUCCCUUCCAUGUACUACAAAUUAGUCUUCUCCUUAAUAUGACUAUUAGUUAGGAGUACAUAAUUGGUCCAAUAUAAUAUCUUCAUUCAAGACAAAACCUGUUAACAUUACUCUAACACAAACAUGCAUGCAAACAUAAAGAACAGGUAAUAAGAAACAUAUCAUAAUUGAGCUCAAAGUGUCAGCAAAAUUACAUAAGGUAAAUUACACUUAAUGAUCAUCAAUUACAAUAAUGCCCAUACUUUCAACAUGUUCUAUAAUGUCUUGGGCAAUAAUCCCUUAUUCAAAGGGUCAACUAUCAUAAGGUUUGUGCUAAUAUGUUCUAUUGACACUCUUUGUUUCUGAACUUCUUCCUUCACGACAAAGUACCUCAAUUUCAUAUGCUUAGCACCCUUAGAGUACUUGUCGUUCUUACAAAAAUAUUGUUGCGGAGUUAUCACAAUACAUUUUCAGCGGCUUAGCAAUACUGUCGACAAUUCCAAGCUCUGAAAUAAAGUUCCGCAACCAAUUAGCCUGAAUUGUACCCUCAAAAUAUACUACAAAUUCAGCUUUCAGAUGCAACAACAACUGAUGCAUACAAAAUUACUUUCAUUUGUUUUCGUUCCAUAUCAUUUCUAGGACAUUGUACGAGACUAACUCUGUCUCAUUUCUAAAUUAGAAUAGGCGAUGUUAAAGACCUUUCCAUCUUGAAUCUCUCUAGCACUUUAUCGAUAUAUAUAUAUAUAUAUAUAUAUAUAUAUAUAUAUAUAUAUAUAUAUAUAUAUAUAUAUAUACUUUCUGAGAUAAGCCUAACAAUCCUUGUGAUCUAUUUUGGAAUAUUUUUAUCCCUAUCACAUAGCUUACCCCACCCAUAUCUUUCACUUCAAAGUUUCUAGAGAGAAAUUUCUUAGUCUCAUGAAGAAGACCAAGAUCGUUAGUUGCAAGCAAGAUAUCAUCAAUAUACAGAAUUAGAAAAUAACCUUACUCUCACUGACUUUCAGAUACAUACAUCGAUAAAUAGUAUUUUCCUUAAAUCUAAAGGAAAUAAUGGUAUCAUUAAACCUCAAAUACCAUUGGCGGGAAGCUUGCUUUAAGACUAUAUAUUGAUUUCUUUAGUAUGCACACCAUGUGUUCAUUUCCUUCAACUGAGAACCCCAUUGGUUGGUCCAUACAAACAUUCUUCUCUAAAUCUCCAUUAAGAAAGGCAGUUUUCACAUCCAUCUGAUGUAGCUCCAAGUCAUAAUGGGCUAAUAAUGCCAUAAUAAUCCUAAAAGAAUCCUUUCGUGAGACGGGUGAAAAUGUCUCUUUAUAAUCAAUGUCAUCUUUCUGAGUAAAUCCCUUAGCAGCAAGUCUAGCCUUGUAACGUUCAAGGUUGCCAUGAGAGUCACGUUUAGUCUUGAAGACCCACUUACAACAAACUCUCUUACAACCCUUUGGUAAUUCUACAAGGUCCCAAACACCAUUAUGUUCCAUGGAAUCUAUCUCUUCUUUCAUGGCAUUUAACCACUUCUCAAAACUAUCACAACUUACAACUUUUGAAAACAAAACUGGAUCAUUAUCAUUAAUGCUUAAGUUUGUUUCUGUUUCAUGUAAGUAUACCAUAUAGUCAUUCGAAAUAGCUGGUCUUUUUUCUCUUUGAGACCUCCUUAAUGCACUUCUUGUGGUUCCUCCACAAUGGGUUCAUUAUGUAUCAUGGGCUCAUCAUUGUGUUGUGCUUCUUCAUUACUGUUUGUAGCAAUAACUGAAGUAGUAAUCACCUUACUGCUAGAGGCAAAAGCUAAAGGGACUUGCACUCUAACUUCUUUAAUUUCCACUUCUCGUGGAACUGUACUCUCACUGAUUUCACCAUUUUCAAUGAACAUUGCAUUUCCAGUUUCGACAAUUCUUAUACUAUGAUUAAGACAAUAAAAUAUAUACCCCUUUGACUUUUCUGGAUAACCCAUGAAAUAUCCACUGAUUGUUCUUGCAUCCAAUUUUCUUUCUUGCGGAUUCUAAAUUCUUAUUUCUGCCUGGCAACCCCAAACAUGCAGGUGCCUUAUACUAGGUGUUCUAUUUGUCCACAGUUCAAAAGAUGUCUUUGGAACUGCCUUACUAGGAACCCUAUUCAACAAAUACAUGGCAGUUUUCAAGGCAUACAUCCACAAAGAUAUGGGUAAAGGCUAUUUGAUUAACAUACUCCUAGCCAUAUCCAUUAAAGUUCUAUUACGCCUUUCUGAUACACCAUUUUGUUGUGGUGUACCAGGAAUUAUGUAUUGCACACAAAUGCACGUUUCUGAACAAGCUUAGCAAAUAGACCUGGGUGUUGCCCAGUUUCAUCAUAUCUUCGGUAAUACUUAUCACCUCUAUCAUAUCUAAUAAUUUUUACAUUUAUGUCUAAUUGCCAUUUUACUUCAUUGUAGUAAAUUUCUAAGGCAUCCAUUGCCUAAGAAAUCUCGGACAGUAAGUAGACAUAACCGUAACGUGAAUAAUCAUCAAUAAUGAUGAUAAAGUAUCAUUCCUUUCCGAAAGAACUAACAUCAAAAGGUCCACAAAUAUCAGUAUGCACAAUUUCAAGAAGUUGAGUGCUUCUUGUAACUCCUUUCUUUGUAUGUUUUGCUUGUUUUCCCUUAAUACAACCCACACAAAUAUUUAGAUCCGUAAAAUCUAGAUAAGAAAGAAUUUCAUUCUUUAUUAAUCUUUCCAUCAUUUCUCUAGAAACGUGACCUAAACGUUUAUGCCACAAGAAAGCAGAUCGUUCAUUCACUAAACUAUGUUUAGUGCCAACAUUAUGAUGCAGAGUUAAAACAGUUUCAGCAUACAAAGUGUCUAUUUCCAAUUUAUAUAAACCAUCACAAGAAUACCAGUACCAAUGAGAUGAUUAUGCUUAAAUAAAUUGAAACAUCCAUUACCAAAAUUAAAAGAGUAUGCAGUAACAUCAAGUUUAGAUAAUGAAACUAAAUUCCUAGAUAAACUAGGUACAUAAGGAGUUUCCAGUAAAUCUAAACGAUGUCUAGUGUUGCGUUUUAAACAAUAAGUCUCAACUAUUUCCACUGGAGCUUUCACUUCGUUCCCCAUGAAAAUGAAUUUCUCAUUUGGGCUUAUGGUUUGGAUUGUAAGGAAUCUCUGCAUAAUGUUAGAAACAUGAGUCAUACAUCCAGAAUUAAUCCAUCAUGUAUCAUGGGAAACUACAAUUAAGUUUGAUUCAAAACAUACAUGAGCAUUAAGCUCACCAUUCUUUUGGAAAUGUCUUAAUUUCACAAAAUUGACAAUUAUUGCCCUUUGACACCUUUCUUCUGGAUUUGCAAAGAGUCGUCAUUGUUCUUUAAUGACCCUUUGCCAUUAUCAUGCUUCUUCAUAAAUUUCUUUUCAAGCUUCUUGAUUCCCUUGGUGGCUAACAUAAUGGACUAAGUGACUUCCUUGAUCCUUAAGCCUCAUUUCUUCCUGAACUAACAUACUGUGCAAUUCAUGCACAUUCCAUUUAUCUUUCAUGGUAUUAUAGUUCAUUUAGAACAGGCCAAACUCAGACGGUAAUGAGUUUAGAAUAAACUGAAUAAGAAAGUUCUCAUUCACAACCAUUAUAUUCUCAAGGUCUUAAGUCUUACUGCAAUGUUUGUCAUCUCAAUGACAUGUUCAUACAUAGUACGUGAACCAUCAAACUUCAUGGUGGUCAAUGUACUCAUUAAUGUCCCAACAACAGACUUAUCAACUAUUUGAGAAUACUCUCCCACUAAUCCCAUAAACCUUUUAGCACUUUCGAUUUUAGGGAGAGUUGUCUUAAUACUGUCUGCAACAGUCAUUCUCAUCAACAUUAGGCUGAGUCGGUUAGAUCUUUCCCAAGUUUUAUAAUGAACUUUCUCUUCAUGGCUACUAACAAAAAUAAUAGUAACAAACUUCUCUUCCAACAUAGCAAGAUCAUGAUCCAAAACACCGAGGUGAAAUUGGACUUGCUCAUUUCAGUCAGAGAAGUUAAGCCCAUUAAAAUUGGCUCAGAUGAUACAUAAGAAUCCAAUGAAUUCAAAACAUGUAUUACAUAAUAAAAUGCACAUAAGUGUUUUGAGACAUAAAAUACAUGUCAUACAUAUGAUUCAUUCAGAUAACGGACAAUGUAUAUUGAUAUUCUCCUUUGGGUGAUACACCAACAUACAACAUACAAACAUAAUGAUACUAAUAAAAUUUCAACAUUAAUUGGCAAUUAAAUAUGCACCAAUUAGUAGUAUCUAUUUCCUUUGGGCAUAUAAAUAAAAUUAAUGAUACACACAAAUUGCCUACAAUUAUAUUCAUUAAUUAUAAGAACAACUAAUCAACCUUUGGGCGAUCCAUAAAUGCCUUAUAACAAUGAAUUUCAAUUACCCAUAAACCAAUAAUCAUAUAAUUUAGCAUCUAUUAUUCUAUGAGUAAUUGGAAUAAUAAUUAAGUUGGAAUUAAAUAACCUUACAAAUUUGGCCACUUUUGUGACUAAUAAAUUCAACAUACAUUUAAUUCCAACCAAAUAUUAUUGAAAUAAUCAUUAAUUUAGAAUUAAAUAACCUUACAAAUUUGGCCACUUUGGUGACUAACAAAUUCAACAUACAUUUAAUUCCAACCAAAUAUAUAUGGCCUGUACAUACUUAUUGCUAUUAACAAUUCAUAGUCAUUCUAUUAAUUUCGUUUCAGACCAUAAAAUAAUAUUUGUAUUUAUUUAUGUUUUUGCAUUCAAACACGUUCAAGCAAAUAUGUAGCAUAUACAUAUAUUUACUGCUAUCAAUAAUUUCAAAGCAUUCACGUUAAUUUAAUUACAAGAUAUAAACUUUCAAUCCUUCAAUUACAUUUAAUAAUAAUUUCCAGAAAAAAAACACAAGUGGGACUGGAAAUAGCAAAAUGGGUUGCAAAUAACAAUAUCCAAAAUUUCUAAUUCUCCUACCAGGUAGGUACGGGUAGGAGCGGCUUUUCAAUUGGAAUUGAAAGAAAGGUACAUAUAGCCACACAACUUUACAAAACCAAUUCACAACAUAGUGUGUCAUUCUUUCUCCAUAAUUUAAUAUAUAAAUAACGUUAAUGGAAAGACAACUUUCUCCAUUAGAAAUAAAAUUGGUAGCAGAAGCUUUCUCUUUGAAGUUUUGUAUAAUAUUUCUUUCAUACAAAAUUUCAUACUUUGCAGCGGAAAAACAUAAUUAAUGUCAAAAACACACUAUCCAAACAUGUACUUUAAUUGAAAAUACAUGUAAUAGAAAUUAAAAUUCCUAAAUUUCAUAAUUAGGUUUAAUGCAUAAUUUGAAGAAAUUAAAUUAUCCCUAAAUUUCAUAAUUAGGGUUCAUGCAUAAUUGGGAGAAAUUAAAUCAUUCUUGGAGAAUCAUAAAUUUCAUAACACAUGCUCUGAUACCACAUGUAAAAAUUCUUAAGGGGUUUCCUAGACCAUGAAUGAUAGGAAACAACAGGAUCUUGAAACCUAUGGUUCUCACAAACAAUCAAUAAACAACAAUAGAUAAUGAUGCGUACCUUUCUCCAUAGGAAGACUUGUACCUUUCUCCAUAGGAACUUCUCUCCAGUGCACUUUGAUUUCCUUGAAAGAGGAGAGAAAUAAGAUUUCACUUCCUUAGGCCUUUCUUUUCUGCCUCUCUCCGUUCGUGAUGACUAUGGGUGAAAGAGAACACUUUCUGGUCAGGAAGGGGACCUUAUUUCACGUUAGUGGGUAUUAACCCCCUUUUAUAACCAUUACUCCCAUCAAGUAGCAGUUAGCUCUAGAAACUUCUCCUAUUAAGCCCAAUUACAAUUUAGUCCUUAAUCAUUAAUUAUUUACUUAUUAGUCCUUACAUAAGUCACAUGUCUCUCACAUGAGACAUUAAUUCUUACAGAGCCACCUUUAGCAUAAGAGAACCCCACUCCAACUGGUGUAUCUAAAUACAACAUGUUUGUUUCUGCAUCACAAAGUAACUCUUAUCAUAUUGGAGCAAUUCUUGCAAAUAUAAUGGAAUGGUCAAUACCUCAAUGAAGUACCUUUGUUCCAAUUGUACUCAUUUUUAAUUAGAACUUCUCCAUUUCGUCUAAAAGGUUCAUUUUCAGAUAAUGCACUCACUCCAAUAGAAGAACAACCUGGUCCUGUAAACAGGAAUUCACUUAUAUAACAUUUUUCUAGGAAAUUUUAAAACCAUUUUCUUAAACUAAAUGGUCUAUAUUCUAUACUGAUUUUACAUUUUUUUAAUCCAAAGUCUUGGACUUAUUCUAAUUUUUGAGGCAAUGUUACAUAAAUAUAGUUGUAGCAAGUGAGAAAAUGCAGACCUCCAUUGAGCCAGAGAACAAGAGGCUUUGAAGCUGGAUCAAUUUCUGAUUCAGCAAAAUAGUAAAAGAGAGCCAUGUAUAUUUGGAUACACCUAAUUAUUGCCAUGUAUAUGAGAAAUUAUUAUAUAAUUUUUUGUCAACUUGCAAUUUUGACAUGGGUUCAGAGUUUGUCCAAAAACUCUUAAAAGUGAUAUCACUUCCUGGCUUAUUUUGCACUCUAAAAUAAGUUGUUCACUUUGGGGGAACUAGAUCUCAUAUGUGUAGAUAUGGUAAAAAGAGUAAAAUGAGAUCAAUUAUCACUAUAUGAUAAUAAUUAAGUACUAGCAUGUGUAAUUAUGGUAGGUUAGUCCAAGUGAAAUUACAUACAAGAAAGUCGUGUGACUUUUUUUCUUGUUUUAGGAUGUAUGUACUAAUGGUUGGUUAAUGGAUUCAAGAAAGUCGUGUGACUUUUUUUCUUUUUUUUUUUUCCAGUGACUAACACAUGUAUAUUUGCACAUACUGGUAGAACUUCCUUCAAUUAUCCUUCAACGUCCUGUUUUGUUGCUUCUAGAUUUUAUUUUUCUUACUUUGUUUUUCAUAAAUAUGUUGACUCUAAUUCAAUUGACAAAUUGAUGGCUAUUUGAAUUAACUUUUUAAUAUAGUAUGACAUUUGUUAUUUGUAAAUCUUUUGGUGGUUCAUCAGUAUUUUGUGACUCUACCUACUGUUUUAAGUAUGUACAUUUAGCUGAAUGUCGAUACUUCCUUGAUGUUUCUCAUGCGCAUACAUUGGUGCAGCUUUAUUGAACUUCGGAGGAUUAAGUAUUUAUGGUUUUACAUUUUAGGAGUUGAGAGAGAAAUCACUUUUCUCAGUUUAUAACUGAAGGCUUCACAUCUUACUACAAGAGAAAGAUAAGAGACAAGGUAUGUGACAAUAUAAUUGGUAGAAGUUAUUUUUGUUGUUUCAAGGAAAAACUUGUAGUUAUUGGGAUUUUAGGUUUGUGUUUGGAUAUGAUUACUUUAUUUCUCUCCCUUUUCAUUUGCUAAUGAUUGCGUGGAACUUUGUGGUGGAACUGGUCAGUUUUUAUUUUUUAUAUAUUUUUGGGAAAUUAUUUCUUAAACUGUUUAGAAUUUUAUACCAUUACCAUCAAAGCUGCAUGCUUGUCAAUAAUGUGGAUGUGGAUUUGCCUUAUAGAGGAAUUGGAAAAAAAAAACAUCUUGUUGUUCUAGACAAUAUUUUCAUAAUUAAAGGAAUUCUUAUUAUCCUUAUCCUAAUCCUUAUUUAGUCAAUUGAAUUAGUACCGCAGUGGGUUCUGAACAUGUCUUUGGUGUUCAAUUUAUGAGCUUAACAGCUUGUAAUUUUCUGCACUUAUUCCUAGAAAGUAAGCUUGUCCAUUAUAGAAUUAUAUAUGAAUGUACUUAGAAAAAAGGUCAAGUGUAUUAAUAGUUUGGUUAUAUUGUUUUAGUAGUAUUUUCAUUUGAAAUAGUUCUUUUGACAAGUCCCUUUAGUCUCUUGGUGUUUUGGUAUUUCUGUUUCUUAUUUUGCAAAUUAAAUUUUAUAUACUUAUCUUUUUUUAACCUAGAAAUUGUAGUUUCACAUAAACUUGUACUUGUUGGGUUUAUGAUGUCAACAAUCAUAAAAGAUGCUUAGAAAUUGUAGCAUUGGCUAUUUUUUGUUGGAUGGAUGUAUUAAAGGAUGCUUGUAAAUAGCCCCCGUCAUGUUCUUGAAAACAUGGUUUGUUGUAUUGAGUUGUCUCAAAGACUAGCAAUAGUCUCUCAAGUGUAGAGCUCAAUCAGUUCAUAGCAUUGACAAUUAUGGAAUUUAUUGUUGGAUGGAUGUGUUAAAGGAUGCAUGGAAAUAGCCUUUGUUGUGCUAAGCACCUGAAAUAUAGUUUUAGCUAUGUUACAUGGGGUUGUCUUAAAGACCGAAAGCCUAUAUGCUCUGCCCAAAUAGUACAUAGAAUUUAUUAAUGAAAAAAAAUUAUUUUAUUAAAAAAUUAUUUUAUUCAAAUAUAAAAUUUUAAAAAAGAAUGCAUUUGAUUAUUUUAUCAAAAUAAGAAAUUUUAAAAAUGAAGAAAUUCAAUUUUUUAUCCAAACAUAAAAUUUUGAAAAUGAAAAAAAUUUAAUUUUUUAUCCAAACAGAAUUUUAAAAAUAAAAAAAUUUAAAUUAAGCAUUUGAAAUUUUCAUAAUUUAAAAUUCUUUAAUCCAAACACAUUCUUAGAGUAAUCUCAUAGGGAUUAAAUAAUAUAAUGUCAUAUACAUAAUAUUUUUAUCCAGCCUCAUCUAACUUAUGGCAUGUUACAAAAUUAAGAUAACUUUCCUUUGAAAAUAUUAAUUUUAUAUAAUUUAUUAUAGAGUGAUUUUAGAGUAAUCUCAUAGGAAUUAAAUAAUCUGAGUUUUAAAUAGUUUUACUAUCUUUUGUUUAUUUUCAAGCAAAAAAAUUAGGAAAGAUAUAAUGACAAAUUAAGGAACCUUAUAGCCUCGUGAAUCAAUAAAUUUGAAUUAAAGAUGAUAUUUGAAGAAAAAUCCUUAAUUAAAUAAUUCAACUUUUAAAUAAUUUUACUAUAAUUUGUUUAUUUUUAAACAAAAAAAUUGGGAUAGAUUUAAUUACAAAAUUAGGCCAGCAAUUUUUAUCUGUAUAAAAUUAUAAAAACAACCAAUUUAUUCCUCUAGCUUUUUAAAAUAUUUUUAUACUCUUAAAAACUAAAACUCAAAAGUUUCUUUCAUAUUAAAAUAGAAAUGAAACUUAUUACAUAGAAAAUGGAUAAAUCAGUUCUUUCUAAAGGAACCAUCAGUGAAACCAACAAAAGAGGAAGACCUAUUUAAACAUUUUUUAAAAUAUAUGACAUUGUCUUUGCACUUUUCCACUCCAAACUUAACAAUAAAUCUCUCUUGAAGCUUGUUUGCUUGCAACAUAUAUGCAACAUAUAUGCCAUCCACGUCCAUUAAGUUUGAUAAUCUGAUUGAGGGGCAAAGGGAACUAAUCAAUUUUUAACACGCAUCAGAAACCUGUUCCUGUUAAAAAAUAUAUCAUAGUUAACUAAAUUUUCUCAUUAAGUCCAUAAAAGUCACAUUUUUUUAGAGCUAGACGAUAAAUGUACUUUGUUAUCAUGUUUUGUUACUCACACUUUAAGCAAAUUUAAAGCAGGAUAUGUGAGUUUCAUCACGUGUGGAAUUUCAGAAAAAAAUCUUGUGAAAAAUGAAUAGGCAUAAUUAUUUCACCCUGAAAAUAUAAAACACUUUAGUUUCAAAGAAAAAAAAUAGGAUAUUUGAUAGAGCAUACAUUAUAGUUUUUUUUUUCAUACAUUAUAGUUUCAUUUUUGCAUACAUUUGACAUGUUUUUUUGACAUGUUUUAUGAUGGUUUUUAACCUUUUAAAUUGAGUUUUGUGAGGUCGGGCAUCAUUGGGCCUAAGUGUCAUGUUUUCUUAAUUUUUUGCAAUUUUUCUCCUCUCGGCACUGUUUGAGUGUCCAGGGCAUAAGUCUCUACUCCGAGCUCCAAUAGAGAUGGUUUUGGUCUUGCUAGAAAGAUAAGACGAAACUCUGCAAUUGUCUCUUUUACAAGAUUGAGUUGAUUCAAAGGUUUAAGGGGUCAAAAUGGAUCUACAAAGUCUCGAUCCUGCACUUGGAUUUUCUGGGCAUAUUUUGUGUUUAGUGACCCAUUAGUGUUUUUAAUGAGUGAAUUUUGUUUCCAUGUUGAAUGACCCACGAAUUUCACUCUCUCUUUUGUCAUAAAUAUCUUUACUCCUUUGUAAAAACACAACACUUUACAUUAUGUUAAACAAGUGGCCUUAAUAACUUAAAAAAGGAUAAAUUAAGUUUUAAAAUUUUCCCCUAACAAAUUUUAAUUCUCUCUUUAACAGAUAUAUGCAGACUUAAUAUAUAGAAAAAGAAACAAUAAAUAAUUUAUUUGAUGUUCUUUAAAUGUGCAAAAUAAAAUUAAACUCAAUAAUGUAAAUGAAAUUAGGGAAGAGAGAAUUGUAAACUCAAUUUAUACUAGUUUGACCACUUCUUGUGUCUACGUCCAGUCCUCAAUUAAUUCACUUGAAAUUUUCACUAUCUUUAUAAAUUUCUUUACAACUUCUGAAUCACCUAGGAAUACUUUUCCCUUGUGUUCAGAAAAACUUACAAAUCAAGAGACCCACAUACUCUUGAUUACAACAACAGUUUGCUUUUGAAGUACAAAAGUUUUUUUCUCUCUUUAAGAGAAGAAUAAUACAACUUAAAGAACUUAGAAUAAUCUUUAAUUGAUUUGCAAAUAUUUGGCCAAAGGUUUGCUUUUGAGAGAAUAAGAUAAUGAAGUUCUGAAAAAUUCUGAAAGAUUUUCGAACACAAAUCACAUAUUUAUAGACUUUUUGUGACUUUUCAAACUCUUAUAAAAGGAUGUGACUUUUCAGAGUUAUUUUAAAAUUUUCUCACUGAUAAUCGAUUACACAGUUAAUUAUUGAAGAGUUAUAUUUUUUCAGUUUGAAUUUUAAAAAAAAAUCUGUUACUAAUAAUCAAUUACAACCUUUAAAAAUUCAAAUUCAAACUUUUUGAAACAGCUUUGUAAAAUCAAUUUUUGCUUCUGGUAAUCGAUUACAACUUCUAGUAAUUGAUUACCAGAGAGAAAUAUACUAUUUUAAAAGGUGUAAAAACACUUAAAAAAUUUAUAAGAAAUUUUGAAAAUUUAAUCAUUUAAGGUUAAACCUUUGCAAUCUUUUAAGAGAUUCUUUUAAUAAAUAAUGGAUUAUCGCGAAUCCUUUCUCUUGACUUGAACUUGUAGUAAACUUUGAAUUGCUUCAAUGUUUGGCAUCAUCAAAACCUUCAUACAUCAUACGCAAUCACACAUUACACUCUCAUUUUAAUUUCAUAUUAAGUUUUUGUGCUCUCUUCUCUUCCCUUUUUCCCCUUUCUUAUCUUUUCUUAUUUUACUGAAUCAAACCCUCCCAUGAAUAUUUUCAUGGAUAGCUAAUCUCCUUUCAAUCCAAGGGUCACAAGGCUAUCGUAAAUUUGAGUUCUUCCCUGCUUUAAUUAUCGUUUCACUUAAUAUUAAUCUAUUUAUUUAUUUCAGAACCUUAUUGCUCGGUCAAUUUUUUUUAUUAUAGUAAUCCUUUUUUCAAAUUUUUUCAGUGUCUUACGGAAGUAAUCAAUUUUGUAAAUAUUACUGUAGAUUGAUUUCAUGUUUGCUACAGUUGAAACUUCUUAAAUUUUAUUUUAUUAUAUAUAUAUAUAUAUAUAUAUAUAUAUAUAUAUAUAUAUAACAUUAAUCUUAUUCUAAUUACUAAUUAGCCGUAAUAAUAUAUUUAAAUGCAACACUAUUGCCGCUAUGCCCAACUUAAUGAAGUAACCCAACAAACUUCUUAUUCAUAUAACACCAAAAGUAGUCCAUUUAUAAGCAGAGAUUGAUGAUUCAAAUUUACAUAUUUAUGAUAGACCAACCAAACACUAAGCAACCAUACUUCAAACACUCGCAACAAAUAUCCUAGAACAUUUGAAUUUGCAAAUUCGAGCCAUGAUCACUUUAUUAAACACAACACGUAAUUCUUAUUAUUUGUUGAUACAUAUAUUACAGUUAUCUCUGCUUCAAGGUUAUAAAUCUUGACCUCACUUGCAGUUGCAUGGGUCGCAGGUGCAGCUUGAUCCACAGUUGCAGCCACCGUUCUCAGCUGCAACACCCAUUUCAGCACCCUCCAAUUGGGCCUUCACAGACCCAACACCCAAAACAAGAGUCUCUGUGGUUGUCUUCUCAACAUAGCUCAAGUCAAAAGAGUACUUGUUGCAACUGAAACACAAGAAAAAUCAACAAACGUAAGGUUCGUGAAAACAUGUGGGAAAACAAAAAAGGUAUCCAAGAAAUAUAUAUAAAAAAAAACUGAAAGUAGCAAUUUUGUUUUUUGAACAAUUUUAUGAAGAACAUUCCAAAGAAAAAGUAAUCAAAAUAACAAAGAGAAUAGUUCUACCCUCUUAAUUACUGAUGUUGAAAAAAGAAUAAAGCCUCGAAUUUCAUAAAUUUCAACCAAAAUAGGCACCCACAAAGCGAAUCAAACUACGUACCCAAAAAAUAUAGGAAAAUUGUAUAUCCCUAGAAACCCAUGUAUCUAGGUAGGAAGACAAAAGCAUCUUUUUUUUUGGUCGGCGGAAAACAAAGCAUCUAAUUUCAUAAAAUAAAGGAUACUAAAAAAUCCAAUCAAAAUAGUCAUAGCAAAUCCUAUCCCUUAGAAACUUGUGCAAUAAGAAAAAUUAAUAAGAUUCACACGAAAAUCCCAUUAACAGAUUUGAAAGUCAUGUUAAAAUUAAUUUCCAAUACUAAUCAAUAGUUUUAAAGGUUAAUCAAGCAAGCAUAUUAGAAAAGAAGAAGCAUCUAUACCCGCAGUUGCUGCCACAGUUGCAGCUACUUCCACACCCACAGCUAGACAUUCUCAAAAUCUUGGAAUUAAAUCACACACUAAAGUACUGAAGAACAAACAAAAGAUGAUUGAUUACUACACUCAGUGGAAUGAGUUUCAACUAAUCGUAACCCGAAUUUAUAAUGAGUUGAUGAGAUUGUUUGAAAUCUUGAACGUCCACGUGUCACAAUCAUGUGUAAUUAGAAGCAUAAACUAUACUAUGAAUUUUUCCACGUCGACCUCGUUUUCAUCACUCGUCAUUCUAAUUUUUGUGGUGUCCAUUAGUGAUCGUUACAUUUCAUGUUCUUCGAAGUAAACGUAACAAUGAUAUUUUGGAUUUGUUUUUAUUAAAAAUCUUAUAUAAUUUUAUACUCCCUCCAUCCCUAACAAGACUUUUUCAAUUAACAAUACAUAUAUCCCUUAAAAAAAACAGAAUUAAUUUGAUUAAUUAUAUUAAAUAUGUCAAUUAUUUAUCCAAUCAUUCUUAAAUUAUUCUUUUCUUAUCUUUUAAUUUACUUAAUUAUUUUUCUUUAAUAUUUGAAAAAAGAAUAUUCUUUUCUUAUCUUUUAAAGCACUUUAUUAUUUUUCUUUAAUAUUUGAAAAGUAUUAAAAAAAGAAUAAUUAAUGAUACAUUAAAAAUUAAUUAAUAUAUCUAAAAAUUAAAAAAGAAGUCUUUAAAAAGAGACAAAAUUUCUUAAAAAGUUAUAAUUACGAAUUGAGAGAGUAAAUUACAUAUAAUAUUUUAAAUAUAGACCAAUAGAACAUGUAUCAAAAUUAUUUAUCUGUCAGUCACAAUUCUUCCAAACCUUGUACCAAUAAUACAAUUAUGAAACAACUAGAUUAAUUAAUUUGCAAACUUUACAAGUUUCAACCUUCGGUUGAUGUGGAGUAGUUACCCAAAACGCGUCAUCAGCUACCCAUCAUCGCAGUUUAAAAUUGAUGCACUGUCAUCAAAAGCUACUAUUGCCUUAAUGUUUGGGAUUACCCACCAUCUCCGAAUUUAACUCUGGUAUCACUCACUGACAUACAGGACUCAGUUUCCUGAGUUUUUAUCUUCUGAUUUUUCUCAUUCAAGUUAAUUUUUUAUGUCUUUAUCAACACUGCCACUAUUAAUCCUUUGCCUUCUGAUCUGGUUAGAUUUUACAUGAACAUGACUCAGCUCUUUUCCAACUCUGUUCUGUCUUCGGUGCUUAUUCUUAUUCUUGUGAUUGUGGUGUCUAGAUGCAUAGGCUCUUAUUUGAUGUUGUAUACCAUAAUCCCAUUAUAGAAAAACAAGACAAAAACGAAUAGCAAUUUUCCAAAUACAUAUUUCAAGGCCAGUUAGGGAAAAACAUAUCCUGAAAAUUCUGUCCGUGGAGAAAAUCCAUAAAGUAAAAUUAAAACUAUAGCAGCACUAAAUUAAAAUAACAAAUAGCCAAUUGUUGAUAUAAAUAUCAAAGGCAUAAACUACUUCAGUGUACAGAAGUGACGGGUAAAAGAAUGCAAAAUCAUGGACUGAUACCUUUGCUCAGAAGAAGCAAUUAUAUUAUAUCAUAAGAAAUUUUCAUAUGUCCAGACAUAUUUUUAUGCAACUGCAUCAUUGCAAAAGUAUCAAAUACAUAUUUGGAAGCAGUUUCCUGGUUUGAAAUACAAAAACACUACCUGCCAGAAUAAAAAUAAUAAAAAAAACACCACCAAUCACAUAAAAUAUAAUCUCAGAGAAAUUCCAAAUUUGGAAGUGGCAGACAAUCAACAUGGCAUCAGUUCAGUCCGCCCGUCUGCAUUUCUUCAUCAUAGAGAAGUUGAACAAUUAUGCCAAAUCAGAUACAUUUUUUUCAAACCCCAAAAUAAACACACACAAUCACUCAGAGAUAGAACAACCAAAAGACAAAAAAGUAAGUUAAGACUUGGAAGGCAUCAGAUAAUAAGCGGAGUUUUUAAUCUUCACUGUAUAAAUUCAGUGUGUAGGAUAAGAAAUUUUAACAUCAUUUGCCAACCCUUUUACCACUAUAGUAAGGUUCACUACAGAACGAAGCAAUCAAAAACAAAACAUAAAACCAAAAUAAAAGUUAAAUGGCGUCAGAUAAGUGGAGUUUGAUGUCAUCACAGCUUUUCAGUAUAUCAAUAAGCGGUUUAACAAUAAAUCAUCACUUGCCAAUUCACUCUACACAUACAAAUAACACAAUUGCAUUAAAAACUUAUAUAUUUGGGGAUUUCGGUAGGUCCAUUUGACCCAUGGCAAAUUUCAAAAUCGGUGCAAUGGGCUGGUAAGUCAACCUUUAUGGAUCUUUGCAUCAGUUAUAUCUCCACUGCCAUCGACAUUGGACACAGAUAGAGAGGGUAAAACAGAUGCAGUGCAUAAACCAUGAACAAAAUCAAUCAAAUUUUGUGAAAUCAAACCAUCAACAACAAAAUUUGUUUACAUAAUGGGAAUAAUAAAAAAAUAUUAUUCAACUUCAGAGAAUCAAAAUGAAAUUGGGAAUCAAAACCGGAGAAUGGUCUUCAUUUUCGUCCCAUGUGGCCUUCAAACAUAUACCUAAAUUAAAGAAUCAUUUAAAUGAAGUUAGCAGGGUAAACACAUUUGCUCACAAAAAACAACCCAAAACUCAACUUUGAAAUUCACAUGCAACAUUUGCCAAAAGUUACUAUUAUUGUGUUUGGAUAGCUAGGAAUCAAUUCUAUAUCCAAAAAAAUGGUGAAAAGUUGAAAAGGUACAAGUAACUAUCCUUGUUUUGGGGAUUGUAAGAAGGAAAAAAAAAAGCUUACUCCAAUUAGAAGAAAAUAGAGAAAAAUUAUAGCUGCUUGAAAUUUGAAGGAACCACGAAAGAGAAGGUCCCUCCAAUCGUGAAUCAAUAGCCGGAUUCUGUUUUGGCACCAUGCAAAAGGUUGUUUGUUUAGAGAGGAAAAAAAACAACAAACACCCGUGUCUGACUUAAGUGCCAACAAUUCACAAAAUUAUUAUUAAUGAUAACAAUAAUUUGACCAGAAAUUGUGUCUUGAAACAGAAGGGUUUGAUUUCAAGGAUCUUCAACUGGUUCUUUCGUUUUGGCUCUAAGCGGCAGUCAGGUGGCCAUUGAAACAAGCCCCUGCUGUUGACUCUUAUAAUAGAGCCUUCAUCAAUAUUAUUACGAUUAAACCCUAACCCUAAACCCUAACCCUAAACCCUACACCCUAACAAAAACGAACUACAGUAACACACGAAUGUAAGAAAGAACAGAAACUCACCUCACCAAAAGAAAACAACAACGCCAAAUGCCAUCAGAGAGGCUGAUGCCUAAUUACCUUACUAUGAUGCAAUAUAUAUACUUGUGCUGGAAACCCUAAUCUGUAGUUUCGGCCGCCAAAUUACCCAAACACCGUUCAAGAUAUCCAAACCAAUUUGGGCCUGCUACGUUUUCGGGGGGAAAUGCUAGGUGCACCCAGCAACAUUGCUGGUGCACCCAGCAAUUAGGUGAAUGGGCAAAAUUGCCCUUGCAUUAAAAAAAAUAAUUUCUUCUUCCGGAAGAAGGUUCUUCUGGAAAUCUUCCGGAAGAAGGUUCUUCCGGAAAUUUUCCGGAAGAACCUUCUUCCGGAAGAACAAUUUGUGUUCUACCGGAAGAACCUUUUUCCGGAAGAACCUUCUUCCGGAAGCUUUCCGAAAGAAGGUUCUUCCAAAAGAACAAAUUGUUGUUCUUUCGGAAGAAGGUUCUUCCGGAAAGUUUCCAGAAGAAGGUUCUUCCGGUAGAACAAUUUAUUCUUCCGAAAGAAGGUUCUUCCGAAUGAACAAUUUGUUUUACCGGAAGAACCUUCUUCCGAAUAAGUUACCGGAAGAACUUCUUCCGGUAACUUCUCCAGAAGAAGGUUCUUCUGAUAGAAUAAAUUGUUCUACCAGAAGAACCUUCUUCCGAAAGAAGGAAUUAUUUUUUUAAUACAAGAACAAUUUUGUCCAUUCACCUAAUUGUUGGGUGCAUCAACAAUGUUGCUGGGUGCACCUAGCAUGUCCCGUUUUCGGGCCUUCAGUUUCGAUUCUAUGUUUGUUCUUUUUUUUUAUUUAUAGACCUCUCUUUUUCUAUUUCCACCGGCCAUGUUUUUUAAAAUCACUAGAAACUAGUGCCUGACCAAAGUGUGUUGAUUUUUUAGCCUUUCUUAAAUCAAUACCAAUAUAUAUA
rnacentral:lncRNA from 1 species